UUGGUGAUGCGAAACGCAAAGAUUCAUCAUCUCAACGGCAUGCAUCAGAACAGUUAAGACUUGAUGUUUAAGCUGGGGAGAAAGAAUCAAAUAAAUGGUCUCAUUCAUUGCAAGAACAAGAGAGUAAGUACAUGAUCACCAACACAAAGAAUGGCACGCCGGCGCACGUACUGGACACACCUCCCACACCACCGCGACCCAUACAUACACACACGCACGCGCCCACACCUCACGCCCCAACACGAACACACGCACACACACCAAGACGACGAGUAAACCAAGCCGGACAGACGAAGAAGGGUCAUCUCAUCUCAUCACACGCCACCGCGACGGAUCUAGCAGAAGAGGUAACCGAAGGCGGCGGCGGCGAAGGAGGCCGCUGCGAGGGGCACGGCGGCCGCGGCGUCGGAGGCGGGCGCCGGGGCCGGGGCCUCGGCGGCGGCCGCGGAGGCGACGAGCGCGGCGGCCAUGGCGGCGACGGCGACGAACUUCAUCCUGAGACCGGCCAUUGGCGACUUGACUUGGUUCCUGGUGGUGCUGGGAGGAGGGCCGGAGGGGUUCUUGCUGCUGCUUAUUCGGCUGUGAGAUCUCUCUAGGGGGAAGCUAGAGAGAUGCUGCACGCGGAUGAGCAAGAGGCUUGAGAGUGGCGGCNNNNNNNNNNNNNNNNNNNNNNNNNNNNNNNNNNNNNNNNNNNNNNNNNNNNNNNNNNNNNNNNNNNNNNNNNNNNNNNNNNNNNNNNNNNNNNNNNNNNNNNNNNNNNNNNNNNNNNNNNNNNNNNNNNNNNNNNNNNNNNNNNNNNNNNNNNNNNNNNNNNNNNNNNNNNNNNNNNNNNNNNNNNNNNNNNNNNNNNNNNNNNNNNNNNNNNNNNNNNNNNNNNNNNNNNNNNNNNNNNNNNNNNNNNNNNNNNNNNNNNNNNNNNNNNNNNNNAGAGUGGCGGCUUGGGAGGUGGGAGGGAGAGGCGAGCGGGGGUGGCGGCUUGGGAGGUGGGAGGGAGAGGCGAGCGGGGGUGGCGGCUUAUAUAGCGGCGGAGCGGGGAGGGGAGGGGAAGGAUGGCCAGGUCGGUCGCGUAGGGUUGCGGGAGAAGGGAGAGGAGUACGGCUGGCCGUCUGUUGGGUUGGGCUCCGGGCGUGCCGCGUUUGGUGGCCGGUUGGGCUGGCGUUCGUUACCGUUGCGGCCGGGAUCCUCUCUGACCGCGCCCGUUGGAGCGCGUCUCCGGGUGUGUGUGUGUGUGUGUGUGUGUGUGGUGGCUCGGCAUUCAUCAACGUGCGCGCCGCGCUUCCAGGUUUCUUCCUCGAAUUGGAUGCGUGCUCUUAGAUGACUUGAGCUGGAAAAUUCCACUUACUCCAUGAUAAGUAUCUGUAUGGUUAGCACGUCCAUUUCCAAUAACAUCAGCGACUUGGAGGCCGUGGAGCACCAACGAACACGCACUUCACAUUUGCAUAAAACUUUUUUUUGACGUGCCAGUAACAAGAAGAGUACCAGUUAUAAACACGGGAAGCCUUAGAGGCGAAGGCUUUGGUUGUGUACGCCUUAUCAAAUGGCUUUUGCGGCGUGCACAUUCUGUCUAUCUAUUGAGUAGAAUACGGACCGGUCCAAGUAUUAUUAUCUCUCAAAUUAGGUUUUCGCCUAACAUAUUUACAUGAGUUUUAUAUGGUUUAGUGCAUUUUUAAAUAUUUUUAUGGACUAAAAGCAUGUCCAGCCGAGCCCCAAACACGGCCCCCCAAGUGAUUUCUUCACGCCGGCGCCGAAAAAACGGCCCAGUCGCGCCCCCACGAGCUCGUUUUUCGUCGGUUUGGCCGAAAUUAGCGCGUUGGGAGCACCUGGCGGCGCUGGGGGACGCGAUUUUGGCGCGAACGGGGAUGGGCCCGAAGAGUCAGCGAGACGCCGCUUCGUCGCCCUCAUCGCCUCGGUUACCGCGGGAAUCAAUGCCAAGGCUGCCGCGCCGGUCAGCCUCCAUUGAUGCUCCAUUGAUGCCUCACGGGCGGCGAAGUGAAGGCGCCGGCGACGCGCGUCCCGCCCGCUCCCGCCACGUGUCUCCCGGCAUGCAGCCUCUCGUCGCCCCGCUGGGGCUAUAAAAGGCGACCCCUGCCUGCCAGUGAACGCCACAACCUCCCCUGCAUCCACCUCGCAAAAGCAUCCCUAUCCCCCCCUUCCCGCCGCCGAGCAAAGAUAGCCGAGAGGUUUCCAGGCGACGGCGCGACGGCGAACGGUUUCGGCCGCCGCCAACUCCAAGAGCCGGAGGCGCGCCUCCUCUACGAGGUCGAGUACCCGGCGCCCCCAGACAUGCGCGUGCCGGGGGCGUGGAGUGAGCACCGGCGGCGUCCCGGUGCCCGAAGGGGCGGCGCGGCGGGCAGAGAUCGCCCGCAUCCGCUCGUCCCUGACGGAGGAACAGCGAAACGAGCCGAGGUACGCUCCCGACAGCGAAAUGUUGUGGACAAUGUACUUCGAGCAUCGCCGCGAAGAGCAAAUCGCCUCCGUCAACGACGUCAUUCCCCGCGGCCGCCUCAAUGCCGAAGGACGGCGCGAGUGGUGGGUGAUACGUCUCCAACGUAUCUACUUUUCCAAACACUUUCGCCCUUGUUUUGGACUCUAACUUGCAUGAUUUGAAUGAAACCAACCCGGACUGACGUUGUUUUCAGCAGAACUGCCAUGGUGCUCCCCCAGGGCUGUUGCUAGUUGGAGGCACUCGGUGUUUCGAGCAAGCCAUGGAUUGAUGCUUGUUGGUGGUGGGGGUGUAUAAACUUUUACCAUUCAGUUUGGGAACCGCCUAUAAUGUAUGUAGCAUGGAAGAUAUCGCCAUCUCAUAGUUGUUGCGUUCACAGUGAAAGUAUGCCACUCAAAAUGUUAUUCAUCUCUAUUUUAAAUUCGAGCUUUGGCACCUCUACAAAUCCCUGCUUCCCUCUGCGAAGAGCCUAUCUAUUUACUUUUAUGUUGAGUCAUCACCCUCUUAUUAAAAAGCACCCGCUGGAGAGCACGCUGUCAUUUGCAUGUAUUACUAUUAGUUUAUAUUGGGUAUGACUUGACUGGAUCUCUUUUACCAUGAAUUAUAAUGUUUAGUCAGUCCUUGAUCUUUAAAGGUGUUGUGCAUUUAUGUUUUGCGGUCUCAGAAAGGGCUAGUGAGAUACCAUCUUGUUAUAUCAUAUUAUGAUUGUUUUGAGAAACUGUUGUCAUCCGAGUUUUAUUAUUAUUGCUCGCUAGCUGAUUAUGCCAUUGAUAUGAGUAAACAUGAGACCUAAGUGUUAUUGUGAAUAUGGUUAGUUCAUAAUCUUUGCUGAAAACUUGAAUGCUGGCUUUACAUAUUUACAACAAGAGAAAAUAGAGUUUGUAAAAGUUUUUCUUUAUCACUUUCAGUUUAUCAACUGAAUUGCUUGAGGACAAGCAAAGCUUUAAGCUUGGGGGAGUUGAUACGUCUCCAACAUAUCUACUUUUCCAAACACUUUUGCCCUUGUUUUGGACUCUAACUUGCAUGAUUUGAAUGAAACUAACCCGGACUGACGCUGUUUUUAGCAGAACUGCCAUGGUGUUGUUUAUUGUGCAGAAAACAAAAGUUCUCGGAAUGACCUGAAAAUCCACGGAGAUAACUUUUCGAAAAUAUAAAAAAUACUGGCGAAAGAAUCAAGGCCAGGGGGCCCACACUCUGUCCACGAGGGUGGGGGGCGUGCCCCCUCCCCUUGGGCGUGCCCCCUAUCUUGUGGGCCCCCUGAUGCUCCAUUGACCUCAACUCCAACUCUAUAUAUUCCGUUUCGUGGAGAAAAAAAUCAGAGAGAAAGUUUCAUCGCAUUUUACGAUACGAGGCCACCGCCAAGCCCUAAUCUCUCUCGGGAGGGCUGAUCUGGAGUCCGUUCGGGGCUCCGGGGAGGGGGAUUCGUUGCCAUCGUCAUCAUCAACCAUCCUCUUGUUGGGGAACGUAGCAGAAAUUCAAAAUUUUCUACGCAUCACCAAGAUCAAUCUAUGGAGAUUCUAGCAACAAGAGAGGGAGAGGAUGAGUGUAUCUUCAUACCCUUGAAGAUCACGAUGCGGAAGCAUUACAAGAACGCGGUUGGUGUAGUCGUACACGCAGCGAUUCAGAUCACGGUCGAUUCCGAUCUAAGCGCCGAACGGACGGCGCCUCCGCGUUCAACACACGUACAGCCCGGGGACGUCUCCUCCUUCUUGAUCCAGCAAGGGGAUAGGAGAAGUUGAGGAAGAACUCCGACAGCACGAUGGCGUGGUGGUGAUGGAGCUCGUGGUUCUCCAGCAGGGCUUCGCCAAGCACUACGUAGGAGGAGGAGGUGUUGGAGGAGGGAGAGGGCUGCGCCAGGGGAAGAGUGCAGCUGCCCUCUCUCUCCCUCACUAUAUAUAGGGGGAAGGGAGGAGGGGGAGGCGCCCUAGGGUUCCCUAGGGGAGGGGCGGCGGCCACAGGGGAAACCCUAGAUGGGUCUGGGCGCCCCCACCCCAUAGGAAACUUGCCCCCCAAGCUGGGAGGGUGGCUUCCCUAGGGGUGGAGCCCCCACCUCUCCUGGUUACGUGAGAUGGGGUGGGAGGGGCGCUCAGCCCCUUAGUGGGCUGAUGUGCCCUCUCCCCUUGGCCCAUAAGGCCCCCCAACGCUUGCCGGGGCCUCUGAAACCCCUUUCGGACAUGCUGGUCAUCACCUGGUACCCCCGGAACAAUUCCGGACUCCAAUACCCUUCAUCCAAUAUACCGAUCUUCACCUCCAGACCAUUCCGGAGCUCCUCGUCAUGUCCGGAAUCUCAUCCGGGACUCCGAACAACCUUCAGUAACCACAUACUAUUUUCCAUAACAACUCUAGCGUCAUCAAGCCUUAAGUGUGUAGACCCUACGGGUUCGGGAACCAUGCAGACAUGACCGAGACGUUCUCCAGUCAAUAACCAACAGCGGGAUCUGGAUACCCAUGUUGGCUCCCACAUGUUCCACGAUGAUCUCAUCGGAUGAACCACGAUGUCAAGGAUUCAAGCAAUCCCGUAUGCAAUUCCCUUUGUCAAUCGGUAUGUUACUUGCCCGAGAUUCGAUCGUCGGUAUCCCAAUACCUCGUUCAAUCUCGUUACUGGCAAGUCACUUUACUCGUUCCGUAAUGCAUGAUCCCGUGACUAACUACUUAGUCACAUUGAGCUCAUUAUGAUGAUGCAUUACCGAGUGGGCCCAGAGAUACCUCUCCGUCAUACGGAGUGACAAAUCCCAGUCUCAAUUCGUGCCAACCCAGCAAACACUUUCGGAGAUACCUGUAGUGCACCUUUAUAGCCACCCAGUUACGUUGUGACGUUUGGCACACCCAAAGCAUUCCUACGGUAUCCGGGAGUUGCACAAUCUCAUGGUCUAAGGAAAUGAUACUUGACAUUAGAAAAGCUUUUAGCAAACAAACUACACGAUCUUGUGCUAUGCUUAGGAUUGGGUCUUGUCCAUCACAUCAUUCUCCUAAUGAUGUGAUCCCGUUAUCAAUGACAUCCAAUGUCCAUGGUCAGGAAACCAUAACCAUCUAUUGAUCAACGAGCUACUCAACUAGAGGCUCACUAGGGACAUGUUGUGGUCUAUGUAUUCACACAUGUAUUAUGGUUUCCAGUUAAUACAAUUAUAGCAUGAACAAUAGACAAUUAUCAUAAACAAGGAAAUAUAAUAAUAACCAUUUUAUUAUUGCCUCUAGGGCAUAUUUCCAACAGUCUCCCACUUGUACUAGAGUCAAUAAUCUAGUUCACAUCACUAUGUGAUUGUAAUGAAUCCAACACCCAUUGGGUUUGAUCAUAUCUCGCUUGUGAGAGAGGUUAUAAGUCAACGGGUCUGAAUCUUUCAGAUCCGUGUGUGCUUUACAAAUCUCUAUGUCAUCUCCUAGAUGCAGCUACCACGCUCUAUUUGAAGCUAUUCCAAAUAACUGUUCUACUAUACGAUUCCGGUUUACUACUCAGAAUAAUCCGGAUUAGUGUCAAAGUUCACAUCGGCGUAACCCUUUACGACGAACUCUUUUACCACCUCCAUAAUCGAGAAAAUUCCUUAGUCCACUAGUUACUAAGGGUAUGUUUGACCAUUGUCUUGUUAUCCAUUCCUGGAUCAUUCUUGUACCCCUUGACUGACUCAUGGCAAGGCACACUUCAGGUGCGGUACACAGCAUAACAUACUGUAGAUCCUAUGUCUGAAGCAUAGGGGACGACCUUCGUCCAUUCUCUCUCUUCUGCCGAGGUCAUGUCUUGAGUCUUACUCAAUACUCACACCUUACAACACAACCAAGAACUCCGUCUUCGCCGAUCUAUUUUGAACCUCUUCAAAAUCUUGUCACGACAUGUAUUCAUUUGAAAGUAUUAUUCAGUUGAUCUAUCCUUAUAGAUCUUGAUGCUCAAUGUCCAAGUAGCUUAAUCCAGGUUUUCCAUUGAAAAACACCUUUUCAAAUACCCUAUAUGCUUUCUAGAAAUUCUACAGCAUUUCUAAUCAACAAUAUGUUAACAACAUAUACUCAUCAGAAAUUCUAUAGUGCUCCCACUCACUUCUUUGGAAAUACAAGUUUCUCAUAAACUUUGUAUAAACCCAAAAUCUUUGAUCAUCUCAUCAAAGCAUAUAUUCCAUCUCCGAGAUACUUACUCUAGUCCUUAGAAGGAUUACUGGAGCUUUGCAUACUUCUUAGCAUCUUUCAGGAUUGACAAAACCUUCUGGUUGUAUCACAUGCAACCUUUCCUCAAAAAAAUCAUUAAGGAAACAAUGUUUUAACACCCUAUCUUCAAGAUUUCAUAAAUAAUGCAGUAACUGCUAAUAUAAUUCCAACAUACUCUUAGCAUCGCUACGAGUGAGAAAGUCUCACCGUAGUCAACUCCUUGAACUUGUCGGAAAACAUCUCAGCGACAAGUCGAGCUUUGUUAAUGGUGACACUUACCAUCAUUGUCUGUAUUCCCUUUAAAAAUCCAUCUGUACCCAACAGCCUUAUGACCAUCAAGUAGUUCUUCCAAAGUCUACACUUUGUUUUAUACAUGGAUCUUCUCUCGGAUUUUAUGGCCUCGAGCCAUUUGUCGGAAUCCGGGCCCACCAUCGCUUCUCCAUAGCUCGUAGGUUCAUUGUUGUCUAGCAACAUGACCUCCAAGACAGGAUUACCGUACCACUCUGAAGCAGUACGCGUCCUUGUCGUUCUACGAGGUUCGGCAGUGACUUGAUCCGAGGCUUCAUGAUCACUAUCAUCAGCUUCCACUUCAAUUGGUGUAGGUGCCACAGGAACAACUUCCUGUGCCCUGCUACACACUAGUUGUAGUGACGGUUCAAUAACCAUAUCAAGUCUCCACCAUCCUCCCACUCAAUUCUUUCGAGAGAAACUUUUCCUCGAGAAAGGACCCGUUACUAGAAACAAUCACUUUUGCUUCCGGAUCUGAAAUAGGAGGUAUACCCAACUGUUUUAGGUGUCCUAUGAAGAUGUAUUUAUCCGCUUUGGAUUCGAGCUUAUCAGGAUGAAACUUUUUUUCACAUAAGCGUCGCAGCCCCAAACUUUCAAGGAACGACAGCUUAGGUUUCUCUAAACCAUAGUUCAUACGGUGUCAUCUCAACAGAAUUACAUGGUGCCCUAUUUAAAGUGAAUUUGGUUGUCUCUAAUGCCUAACCUAUGAACGAUAGUGGUAAUUCGAUAAGAGACAUCAUGGUAUGCCCCAUAUCCAAUAGGGUGCAGUUAUGAUGUUCGGACACACCAUCACACUAUGGUGUUCCAGGCGGUAUUAGUUGUGAAACAAUUUCCACAAUGUCUUAAUUGUGUGCCAAACUCGUAACUCAGAUAUUUAUCUCUAUGAUCAUAUCAUAGACAUUUUAUCCUCUUGUCACGACGAUCUUCAACUUCACUCUGAAAUUACUUGAACCUUUCAAUAAUUCAGAUUUGUGUUUCAUCAAGUAAAUAUACUAAGAAUCUACUCAAAUCAUCUGUGAAGUAAGAGCAUAAUGAUAUUCACCGCGUGCCUCAUCACUCAUUGGAUUGCACACAUCAAAUGUAUUACUUCCAACAAGUUGCUCUCUUGUUCCAUCUCACUGAAAACGAGGCCUUUCAGUCAUCUUACCCAUGUGGUAUGAUUUGCAUGUCUCAAGUGAUUCAAAAACAAGUGAGUCCAAACGAUCCAUCUGCAUGGAGUUUCUUCAUGCGUAUAUACCAAUAGACGUGGUUUGCAUGUCUCAAUCUUUUCAAAAACGAGUGAGUCCAAAGAUCCAUCAAUAUGGAGCUUCUUCAUGCGUUUUUACCAAUAUGACUUAAGUGGCAGUGCCACAAGUAUGUGGUACUAUCAUUACUAUCUUAUAUCUUUUGGCACGAACAUGUGUAUCACUACGAUCAAGAUUCAAUAAACCAUUCAUUUUAGGUGCAAGACAGUUGAAGGUAUUAUUCAAAUAAACAGAGUAACCAUUAUUCUGCUUAAAUGAAUAACCGUAUUGCGAUAAACAUAAUCCAAUCAUGUUUAUGCUCAACGCAAACACCAAAUAACAAUUAUUUAGGUUUAACACCAAUCUCGAUGGUAGAGGGAGCAGGCAAUGCUUGAUCACAUCAACCUUGGAAACACUUCCAACACACAUCGUCAUCUCACCUUUAGCUAGUCUCCGUUUAUUCCGUAGCUCUUUUAUUUCGAGUUACUAACACUUAGCAACCGAACCGGUAUCUUAAUACCCUGGUGCUACUAGGAGUACUAGUAAAGUACACAUUUAAUACAAUGUAUAUCCAAUAUACUUCUGUCAACCUUGCCAGCCUUCUCAUCUACCAAGUAUCUAGGGUAGUUCUACUUCAGUGACUGUACCCUCAUUACAGAAGCACUUACUCUCGGGUUUGGGUUCAACCCUGGGUUUCUUCACUAGAGCAGCAACUGAUUUGUCGUCUCAUGAAGUAUCCCUUCUUGCCCUUGCCCUUCUUGAAACUAGUGGUUUUACUAACCAUCAACAAUUGAUGCUCCUACUCGAUUUCUACUUUCGCGGUGUCAAACAUCGUGAAUUGCUCAAGGAUCGUCAUGUUUAUCCCUGAUAUGUUAUAGUUCAUCACGAAGCUCUAAUAGCUUGGUGGCAGUGACUAUGGAGAACCAUCACUAUCUCAUCUGGAAGAUUAAUUCCCACUCAAUUCAAGUGAUUGUAGUACUCAGACAAUCUGAGCACAUGCUCAAUGAUUGAGCUUUUCUCCCUUAGUUUGCAGGUUAAGAAACUUGUCGGAGGUCUCAUACCUCUUGACGUGGGCACGAGCCUGAAAUCCUAAUUUCAGCUCUUGGAACAUCUCAUAUGUUCUGCGACGUUUCAAAAAAUGUCUUCGCUGCCUCAAUUCUAAACCGUUUAACAUUACGCACUGAACUAUCACAUAGUCAUCAAAACGUGUAUGUCAGAUGUUCGCAACAUCCACAAACGACGCUAGAGGUUCAGCACACCGAGUGGUGCAUUAAGGACAUAAGCCUUCUGUGCCGCAAUGAGGACAAUCCUCAGUGUACAGACCCAGUCUGCAUAAUUGCUACUAUCAACUUUCAACUAAAAUUUUCUCUAGGAACAUAUCUUAAACAGUAGAACUAAAGCGCAAGCUAUGACAUAAUUUGCAAAGUCCUUUUGACUAUGUUCAUGAUAAUUAAGUUCAUCUAAUGAACUCCCACUCAGAUAGACAUCCCUCUAGUCAUCUAAGUGAUACAUGAUCCAAGUCAACUAGGCCGUGUCCGAUCAUCACGUGAGACGGACUAGUCAUCAUCGGUGAACAUCUCCAUGUUGAUCGUAUCUACUAUACGACUCAUGUUCGACCUUUCGGUCUCUUGUGUUCCGAGGCCAUGUCUGUACAUGCUAGGCUCGUCAAGUCACCCUAAGUGUUUUGCGUGUGUAAAUCUGGCUUACACCCGUUGUAUGUGAACGUUAGAAUCUAUCACACCCGAUCAUCACGUGGUGCUUCGAAACAACGAACUUUCACAAUGGUGCACAGUUAGGGGGAACACUUUCUUGAAAUGUUAAUGAGGGAUCAUCUUAUUUAUGCUACCGUUGUUCUAAGCAAAUAAGAUGUAAUCAUGAUAAACAUCACAUGCAAAUCAUAAAGUGACAUGAUAUGGCCAAUAUCAUCUUGCGCCUUUGAUCUCCAUCUUAAGGCACGACAUGAUCACCUUCGUCACUGGCAUGACACCAUGAUCUCCAUCAUCGUGUCUUCAUGAAGUUGUCUCGCCAACUGUUACUUCUACUACUAUGGCUAACGGUUUAGCAAUAAAUUAAAGUAAUUACAUGGCGUUUUCAAUGACAUGCAGGUCAUACAAUAAAUUAAGACAACUCCUAUGGCUCUUGCCGGUUGUCAUACUCAUCGACAUGCAAGUCGUGAUUCCUAUUACAAGAACAUGAUCAAUCUCAUACAUCACAUAUAUCAUUCAUCACAUUCUUUUGGCCAUAUCACAUCACAUAGCAUACCCUACAAAAACAAGUUAGACGUCCUCUAAUUGUUGUUGCAUGUUUUACGUGGCUGCUAUGGGUUUCUAGCAAGAACGUUUCUUACCUACGCAAAAGCCACAACGGUGAUAUGCCAAUUGUUAUUACCCUUCAUAAGGACCCUUUUCAUCGAAUUCGAUCCAACUAAAGUGGGAGAGACUGGCACCCGCUAGCCACCUUUAUGCAACAAGUGCAUGUCAGUCGGUGGAACCUGUCUCACGUAAGUGUACGUGUAAGGUCGGUCUGGGCCGCUUCAUCCCACAAUACCGUCGAAACAAGAUAGGACUAGUAACGGUAAGCAUAUUGAACAAAACCAACGCCCACAACUACUUGUGUUCUACUCGUGCAUAGAAUCUACGCAAUAGACCUAGCUCAUGAUGCCACUGUUGGGGAACGUAGCAGAAAUUCAAAAAAAUUUACGCAUCACCAAGAUCAAUCUAUGGAGAUUCUAGCAACAAGAUAGGGAGAGGAUGAGUGUAUCUUCAUACCCUUGAAGAUCGCGAUGCGGAAGCGUUACAAGAAUGCGGUUGGUGGAGUCGUACACGCAUCGAUUCAGAUCGCGGUAGAUUCCGAUCUAAGCGCCGAACGGACGGCGCCUCCGCGUUCAACACACGUACAGCCCGGGGGCGUCUCCUCCUUAUUGAUCCAUCAAGGGGAGCGGAGAAGUUGAGGGAUAACUCCGACAGCACGACAACGUGGUGGUGAUGGAGCUCGUGGUUCUCCGAUAGGGCUUCGCCAAGCACUACGGAGGAGGAGGAGGUGUUGGAGGAGGGAGAGGGAUGCGCCAGGGGAAGGGUGCAGCUGCCCUCUCUCUCCCUCACUAUAUAUAGGGGGAAGGGAGGAGGGGGAGGCCCCUGGGGUUCCCUAGGGGAGGGGCGGCGGCCACAGGGGAAACCCUAGAUGGGUUGGGCGCCCCCACCCCCUAGGAAACUUUCCCCCCAAGCCGGGAGGGGCGGCUGCCCUAGGGGUGGCGCCCCCACCUCUCUUGGUUACGUGAGAUGGGGUGGAGGGGCGCUCAGCCCCUUAGUGGGCUGAUGUGCCCUCUCCCCUUGGCCCAUAAGGCCCCCCAACGCUUGCCGAGGCCUCCGAAACCCCUUUCGGACACGCUGGUCAUCACCUGGUACCCCCGGAACAAUUCCGGACUCCAAUACCCUUCGUCCAAUAUACCUAUCUUCACCUCUGGACCAUUCCGGAGCUCCUCGUCAUGUCCGGGAUCUCAUCCGGGACUCCGAACAACCUUUGGUAACCACAUACUAUUUCCCAUAACAACUCUAGCGUCACCGAACCUUAAGUGUGUAGACCCUACGGGUUCGGGAACCAUGCAGACAUGACCGAGACGUUCUCCGGUCAAUAACCAAUAGCGGGAUCUGGAUACCCAUGUUGGCUCCCACAUGUUCCACGAUGAUCUUAUCGUAUGAACCACGAUGUCAAGGAUUCAAGCAAUCCCGUAUGCAAUUCCCUUUGUCAAUCGGUAUGUUACUUGCCCGAGAUUCGAUCGUCAGUAUCCCAAUACCUCGUUCAAUCUCGUUACCGGCAAGUUACUUUAUUUGUUCCGUAAUGCAUGAUCCCAUGACUAACUACUUAGUCACAUUGAGCUCAUUAUGAUGAUGCAUUACCGAGUGGGCCCAGAGAUACCUCUCCGUCAUACGGAGUGACAAAUCCCAGUCUCAAUUCGUGCCAACCCAACAAACACUUUCGGAGAUACCUGUAGUGCACCUUUAUAGCCACCCAGUUACGUUGUGACGUUUGGCACACCCAAAGCAUUCCUACGGUAUCCGGGAGUUGCACAAUCUCAUGGUCUAAGGAAAUGAUACUUGACAUUAGAAAAGCUUUUAGCAAACGAACUACACGAUCUUGUGCUAUGCUUAGGAUUGGAUCUUGUCCAUCACAUCAUUCUCCUAAUGAUGUGAUCCCGUUAUCAAUGACAUCCAAUGUCCAUGGUCAGGAAACCAUAACCAUCUAUUGAUCAACGAGCUAGUCAACUAGAGGCUCACUAGGGACAUGUUGUGGUCUAUGUAUUCACACAUAUAUUAUGGUUUCCAGUUAAUACAAUUAUAGCAUGAACAAUAGACAGUUAUCAUAAACAAGGAAAUAUAAUAAUAAUCAUUUUAUUAUUGCCUCUAGGGCAUAUUUCCAACAAUCACCAAUUUCAUGAUGCUCACCGCUGUGCGUGAGUAAUUCCAUCGUAGGCUUCCUGGACAGUGAUGGGUUGGAUGAGAUUUACCAUGUAAUCAAGUUAGUUUUGUUAUGGUUUGAUCCCUAGUAUCCACUAUGAAAAGGAUCGAGAUGGACCUAGAGGGGGGGGGAUGAAUAGGUACAAUUACAAAUUUUAAGUAUUACUUAGCAAUUUUAGGCAAUAAUGCGGAAUAUGAAGGUGAGCCUAACAAUUGCUAGUAAGUACUAAGUACAAGGAAAGUAACACAAGCAUAUAAGUGAGCAAGCACAAUAUGAUGUAAGUAAGUGCAAACAAGACAAGUAGCCACAAGUAGAGAGUUAGGGUUAGGAAUAACCGCAACUCCGGGAGACGAGGAUGUAUGCCGAUGUUCACUUCCUUGGAGGGAAGCUAGUCACCGUUAGAGAGGUGGAUGUUACCACGAAGGCACACCAACGCCACGAAGGCUCACCCUAUUCUCCCUUGGAAACAACACCAUGAAGGCGUUUCUCAACCACUAGUGGUAGACCUUGGGGUGGUCUCCAAACCCUCACAAACAUAUCCGGGGGUAAUCACAAAGGUCGAUUCCUCUCCGAAAGACUCCUACCGCCUAGGAGUCUCCAACCUCCAAGAGUAACAAGAUCGAUGGGGAUUUGCUCAAGACUUGCUCAAAUCACGAAUUCCUUGGGUGCAAAGAAGGAGGAGAAGUGGAUCUAUCACUUGAUCGGACAACUUCUUCCCAAAGCUCUCAAAUCCCUUGGGGAUCUAAGAUUUGGUGUGGAGGAAUGAGAGAGAGUGUGAGAAGUGUUCUAGGGUUUGUUCAAAGUGAAUGGUCAACCUCUCUAGUGGGAAAGAGAGGCAAUAUAUAUAGUGUGAGCUCAAAUAUGGCCGUUGUAGUGCAAGUGAACGGGCAGGCCGGACAUCCGGGCUGGAGGCCGGACAUCCGACCUGUCAAGCCACUUGGAGAACAGGGCAGAACAGAGUAGGAACCAGAGGAGCCGUACAUCCGGGGGUCAAGCCCGGACAUCCGGCGAAAAGGGAAGCCCGGACAUCCGAAAGAUAGCCGGACAUCCGGAGAGCCCACGAACGUUUACAGAACCACAUCAGUUUGUCGGGCAGUAAGGGGCCAGACAUCCGGAAAGGGGCCUGGACAUCCGGUAAGACAGGAAGGCCCGGAAAUCCGGCACACACCCGGACAUCCGGCGAAAAACAGAAAACCUACUAGACAGGAAGGCCAGAUAUCCGGGGCAAGAGCCAGAUAUCCGGGAGAGGACAGCGGCCCGGACAUCCGGCACGAGGCCCGGACAUCCGACACUCCCAGAGACAGAAUGGAUCAAAGACCUAUAGAAAAGAGUAUUUUGACUCGAGCAAGUCCGUUACGAACCCAAUCGAUCCCCUCUUAAUAGUGCGGGAUCCUAUACUCAAGGAAACAAAAUGAAACAUCAUUUUAACACUUCAACCUUGAGAGAACCCACAUCGUAUGCUCUUGAUCCACACACAAUUUUGAUGAACCGGGGACCAACACCUGAGAUUCACUUGGCAGCCAUUGUUAGUCCCCUACAUGUAGAUUGUCAUAACCAACAAAAACAUAAUGUAAGGGCAUGAUUGCACUUUCAAUCUCCCCCUUUUUGUUUGUUGAUGACAAUCAUACAUGUAGUAUCAUAGAUGUAAUAAAUAGUCUUAGCAAUGAUAAUCAUGGGAGCAAAACGCAUACAGAAUAUGUUUAGUUACAAUUUGCUUUUAGCUCCCCCUCAUUGUGUGCAUGCGAUGAAUAUAUUAGGAUGACCAACACAACAGUUUUCAUAUGUGACUUAAAGAAUUAAAGAAGUAAGAGACGAGCACAUAUGAAAUCAUCAUAACACUUCAAAUAGACUGAGAACAUUUCAUGGCCAUGCCAUAAUCAUAACAUAGUCUCAAGCGAACAAGUACCAUAGGUAGCAGCAUAAACAUAAUCAUAACAUAUUCUCAAGCGAACAAGUACCAUAGGGAAUAACAUAUCAUAGCAUGACCAUAUUACUACGAUACUACUUCUCCCCCUUUGACAGCAACAAGUAAAAAAGGGGUGAAGAACUAAACAGUCUCAAUCACUCUUGACGGAUGUCAUCAUCAUCAUCAAGAAACUUGGGGUAGUCAGCACGAGAUGGAAAGCCAGAAGUGGACGAGGAUGGAGCUGCGGGAAGAGGAUCAUCAUCACUAACAGGACUCCCACGGUCACGGAGGCGAUGUUUGAGUAUAUUCUUGGAGAUGACAAGGCGCUUCUGAACAUCAUGAUUCUACUGACAGCUGAAAGUGAUUGCCUUCAUGAUAGCAGACUGAGCCUUACCCAAGAAUGAUGCAAAACGGCCACGAGGAGCGGUCGAGGAAGAUGGAACAGAAGAACCAGUGGGCUGAGUAGGAGCAGCUGUCCUCCCACCAGCAGACCUCCUAGGCUGAGUAGGAGCCUUAGCCGUCACACGCAUGUGAGGAGGAGGUUUCCAAAUGGAGUGCACAAUUGACUUAACCACCUCAAAUGGAGCAGUGUGAUCAAUCAGAGCCUGAAUAUAUGGGGCAUGAGGGAACUGGCACGUCUGAAUAAAACUGCAAAGACGGAUCUCAUGCCAAAUGAAGUUGGCAGUGUCCAGAGGCACAGUGGGUUUCUCAUGCAUAUGAACCAUCAAGUCAAUACAAUAGUUGCGAGCCCUCGAGCGAUCUCCCUUCUUAGGAUAUAGAAUGCGAAGCACACACUGAAAGAGGAUGAAGAAAGGAGCAUGGAAUAUGGAUACCUCAUUGACUGGAUAUGCUUUUUCUUCAUCAGUGAGCUGAGAGGGAGGUUUUACAAGAGGCAUGCAAGCAUCAAUCCCUUUGGGCUUGCCCUCUGGAUCCAUACUGUGGAUGCAAUGGCCAACACCCGAGAGACCCAAAAUCUGAACAAACCUGUCAUAGGUGAUGCUCAGUGUAGUGUCAUCGGUCAUCCAAGUGAGAGUGUUGUCCGGACCAAAGAAACAGGUGGCAUAGAACUGUAGAAUGGCAGCUUCACUCCAAUCACACCUGAAGGUCAUUGCGGGACCAAGAGUCAUGUCAUAAAUGAUCUUGACUGGAUUGUUAGGGAACAUGGCAGGAUUAUCACGUAGGAAGUUUAGAUCCAAGUAUGAGUGAGGAGCAAGGCCACGCCCAUGGACAAAACUGGAAUAGAGAUCCUGCUGCAUACGAGUCCGGAAUCGAGGAUCUUCGGCAUCAGCCACCAUCUCAUAUUGAUUGACAUCCCGACGGAACUAAAGAUAUUGCCCCGCCCCCACAGUUGUGAAGUCGUGAGUGGGGCGACCUCCGCUAUCAGGAAGCUCCAUGGAGAUGCGACGACCAUGGGUAAUGGGUAUUGCAGAACCAUGAACUUGAGGCAUUGGCGCCCUCCUAGUACCGGGCUUGGACUGUCCAACAGACUGUCGUGGUGCACUGUCAUCCUCUUCCUCUCCAACAUAGUCCACAUCAUCUGGAUCCGAGGCCGAUGGACUGGUGGAUGGUGCUCGCUUCUUCUUCUUGGUGGUGGCCUUCUUUUUCUUGGGCCGCGCAUGCUCAUCGGAGUCAGUGGAGCCUUGCCGGCGAUCAACUGGAAUGGAUAAUGAAUGGUUUUCAAUAAGAAGAAGCCAAAGAACAUGAACAAGGAUACGCCAAAUUAAACCGUGGAAUGAACAAAUUUCAUUCCCAUGGUUAAGUUGAGUAACCGAGUGCAUAUAGAGGUGUUUGUAGGCUUAGGUAAACAGAACCUAAAUGCGAGAGCAAUAGAUAUGGUAAGAUGUACAUGGAGAAUAAUGCAACCCAAUAAGAUUUAGUCACAAGCAAGGGAAGAUGAGAAGAGAUAGCACCCUUACCCCGAGAAGACACCUCGGGACGAUUGGGACCGUAGUUCUUGGUACGAGCCAUGAAGAACUCCGAAGGUGAAUCCCACCGAACACCGGCCCCUCCCAAGAGACUCAAGCCACAAUCCAAGAAAUGGAUUGGAUAGAAUCGUAGAUCGGGAGGAGAGGAGUCCGUUGGCAGGAGAUCAGGGCCGGAGGUCGAAGGAGAUGGGCGGGGCAGCACCGGAGUAGCGGCCCGGCGGCGGCGGCUGUGAGGAGAGAUGAGGAGAGGGACGAAGGGAAAAAAAAUGGAACUGCCCCCAAACCCCACACCCCCUCCCCAGGUAUACGCGACUUGCGGGUGACGGGCCGGACAUCCGGGGCAAGGCCCGGAUAUCCGGCGAGUGGAAAACAGAGACCAGAGAAGCAGCGCCCGGAUGUCCGGCUGAGGCCCGGAUGUCCGGCCACUGACGGUAGUUUAUGAUUGUUUUGAUGGGCAAGGAUUUUUUUCACAGAGCCCGGAUGUCCGGCGAGAGACCCGGAUGUCCGGUCACUGGACAGACGACACACACAAGGGAGAGAUGUGAAGGAGGGGGCUGACACGAGAAUUUUAUAUAGACACCGCCAAGUAGUUUACAUGAGAUUAAUAAGGGGGACAACAUGAGACGUCUAAGGCCAUGCUAAGAUGCAUAAAUAAUCCAAACAUGAUUAAGAAGAAGGGUCCAUAUAAGCAUUGUACAAGCGGUGACUGAGGUCACCAUGUUUGAGCAUAUGGAACAUAGUACCACAAAGAUAUAAACUUUGAGCACAUGGUCACGACUCCAUCAUAUUAAAGUAUCCUAGUUUGAAAAAAACUAUGAUAACUUUGAGAGUGUUUGUUCAAUUUAUGCAUUAUGUAAGGUGAGAGAACUCAUGGAUUGAGUGUCUCCCCCUAAAUAUAUGCCUACAUCAAGACGAGACAUUAAGUUUAUGCAUGGAUGGGUACUAGAUUUCACAUAAUGUUGUCAAGCUCCAAGAUACCAAGUUCACGCCUAAGUCGACAGAACCUUGCUUCAUCCAAUGGUUUGGUGAAAAUAUCUGCCAGUUGCAAAUCUGUACCAAUAUGAUCAAUGUGAAUAUCACCCUUCUCAACAUGAUCUCUCAAGAAGUGAUAUCUAAUAUCAAUGUGCUUGGUGCGGAGAUGAUCCUUGGGGUUCUCAGCAAUGUUGAUAGCACUUUCAUUAUCACAUAGAAGAGGCACAUGUCUAUAGGUGAUAACGUAAUCCUUCAAAGUUUGCCUCAUCCAUAAUAACUGAGUUGCACAACUGGCGGCAGCAAUGUAUUCAGCUUCUGCGGUAGAGAGGGCAAUACAAUUUUGUUUCUUCGAUGACCAACUUACCAAGGAGCGUCCAAGAAAUUGACAUGCACCAUAAGUGGACUUACGAUCCACUUUGUCUCCGGCCCAAUCCGCAUCCGUGUACCCAAUGAGAUCAAACUUAGCAUCCUUGGGAUACCAUAGACCCAACUUUGGGGUAUGAACAAGGUAUCUAAGAAUAUGCUUAACCGCCUUAUGAUGACUUUCCCUAGGGGAAGCUUGAAAUCUAGCACACAUGCAUACACUAAACAUGAUGUCUGGUCUAGAUGCACAAAGAUAAAGCAAUCAACCAAUCAUAGAGCGAUAUUUAGAUGGGUCGAAAGGGAUACCGUUUGUGUCUUUAGUGAGUGUUAUUUUGGUUGGCAUUGGUUUCUUACAUGGACUAGCAUCAGACAUACCAAACUUCUCUAGGAUAUCCUUGAGGUAUUUUGCUUGGGACAAGAAAAUUCCUUCUUGAAUUGUUGAAUUUGAAAUCCGAGGAAGAACUUCAAAUCCGCAUUGAGUGACAUUUCAAAAUUCUUGGUCAUUGACGCUGCAAACUUCUUGCACAAAUGAAUGUUAGGAGAACCAAAAAUGAUAUCAUCUACAUAGAUUUGGCAUAAGAUCAAAUCACCCUUAUCCCUCUUAGUAAAAAGAGUGGGAUCGAUCACCCCUCUCACUAAACCAUCAUCGAGUAAAAACUUCUUAAGAUGAUCAUACCAAGCACGAGGUGCUUGUUUGAGGCCAUACAAAGCCUUAUGAAGUUUAUACACAUAGUCUUUGUGAUUGGGAUCAACGAACCCAGGUGGUUGUGAUACAUAUACUUCUUCUUGUAGAGGACCAUUAAGGAAAGCACUCUUCACAUCCAUUUGAUGUAGUGUAAAACCAUUGAAAGCAGCAUAAGCAAGUAAGAUGCAAAUGGAUUCAAGAUGGGCAACAGGGGCAAAGGUCUCACCAAAGUCCAAACCUUCAACUUGCGAGUACCCUUGUGCCACUAACCUUGCCUUGUUUCGGAUGAUUACACCAUUCUCAUCUUGUUUGUUCUUGAAAAUCCAUUUUGUUCCAAUGACGUUGUGUUCGGUAGGUGGCCUCUUGACUAAUGACCACACUUGGUUGCAUUCAAAACUGUUCAACUCUUCUUGCAUAGCAACUAGCCAAUCGUUGUCCAUCAAUGCAUCUUGUACCUUGAUGGGCUCAAAACUAGACACAAAAGAGAAGUGAGCACAAAAGUUGGUCAAAUGUUUACGAGUGACUCUACCUUCCGAUAUGCCGGUGAGUAUUUUGUCAACAUCAACACGACCGGCCACUCGUGGCAUGAUAGAGGUAAGGGUUUCACGAGGUUCAACUUCAUGUCCAUCAUCCACAUCCUCAAAAUAUGGAUCAUUAAUGUGUGGAGGAAGAUCUUCUUGUUCAUAUUGCAUUUGUUGAGGUUCAUCAUCAAUGGUUGGACUUUCUUGUUCUUGUUCUUGAAGAUUGUCAUGAGGAGGAACUUGAUCAUCCUCUUCAACUUGGGCUAAGGGUAUCGGUUGAGCAAUAGGGGCUUGUGGUGGUAUGAAUGUUGAAGUAGUUUGAUGAUGUGUGAGACUUCUAUCUUCUUCUUCAUCAUCAUGAGGUUCUUGUUCCAUAGGAAGAAGUGCACCAACACCCGUGGUCAAAAUGUCUUGAGAAGAAUCUUCUUCACCUACAUCACUUAGAUCAACUUGCUCCCCAUGGGAGCCAUUAAAUUCAUCAAACACCACGUCACAAGUUUCUGCAACACAUCCAUUGGAUUUGUUGUAGACUCUAUAGGCGUGAGGGUUUGAUCCAUAGCCAAUAAAUAUACCCUCAAUUGUUUUGGAUUGAAAUUUUCCUAACCUUUCUCUUUUGUUGAGGAUGAAACAUUUGCACCCAAAUACACGAAAGUACUUGACAUUUGGCUUGUUUCCAGUUAGAAGCUCAUAUGGAGUCUUUUCCAAUAUAGUGCGGAGGAAGAGCCGGUUUGAUGCAUGACAUGCGGUGUUGACAGCUUCGGCCCAAAAACUAUGUGGUGACUUGUAUUCAUCCAACAUGGACCUUGCCAUCUCCACAAGGGUGCGGUUCUUCCUUUCGGCUACACCAUUUUGCUGAGGAGUGUAUGGAGCUGAAUAUUGAUGCCCAAUCCCUUCAUCACUAAGGAAUUCUUCCAAGGUAUAGUUCUUGAACUCAGAUCCAUUGUCACUUCUUAUUGCCAAGAUUUCUUUGUCAAACUUGCGUUGUGCUUGCUUGGCAAAGUCAAUGAAAGUGAUCUUUGUCUCGUCCUUGGACUUGAGGAAAAACACCCAUGUAUAUCUUAAGUAAUCAUCAACAAUGACAAGUCCAUACUUUUUCCCACCAAGACUAUCCCAUGAAGGAGGCCCAAAGAGAUCCACAUGAAGGAGCUCCAAAGGCCUUGAAGUAGACACAAUAUUCUUGGGUGGGUGCUUUGAUUGAUGUUGCUUCCCGGCUAUACAUGCACUACACACACGAUCUUUCUCAAAAGAGACAUUUGUUAGUCCAAGGAUGUGAUUACCCUUUAAGAGAUCUUGAAGAUUCCUCAUGCCGACAUGGGCUAGCCGGCGAUGCCAUAGCCACCCCUUGUCGGCCUUGGCCAUUAGACAAGUUGCAUGGAAUGUGCUCUCUUUCGAGAAAUCAACCGUGUAAAGGUUGCCAUCCAACUCUCCAACAAAGGCCACUUCGAGAGUAUCUCUCUUAAAGACUUUCACAUCCGUUAGUCCAAAUAGUGUAUCAUAACCAACAGAAGCCAAUUGACGAACAGAAAGCAAAUGAUAUUUAAGGAAUUGGACAAGCAUGACAUUUGCAAGAGACAUCACAUUUGUGAUAGCCACCUUCCCCAACCCAAGUACCUGUCCUUUUGAUCCUCCACCAAACAUAAUGCUCAUAAAUGGUUGAAUAGCUUCCAUGAAAUCGUAGAGCAAUUUGCUAUCUCCGGUCAUAUGAUUGGUACAUCCACUAUCAAUCACCCAUUUUACUCCACCGGAGAAGGCAACCUACACACAAUUAUUACUUGGUUAGAGGCACCCAUUUUGCAAUGGUACCUCUCAAGUUAGUCACAAGUGUCUUAGGGACCCAAAUAGCAUAAAACCGAAAUGCAUUUCGAGGACCAACAAACUUUGCAUAAACUUCUCCAUCCUUAGUCUUACGAAGUACAUAGGAUGGAGGCAUGAACUCUUUUGGCUUGUUAAGAGUGGGCAUGCCCCUUGUGGCCUUCCCACUAGCAACCUUACUUUUCUCCUUGUGUCCUUCUCGUACAAAAGUUUCUUUUAAAGGGGUGGUGCACUUUUGAGAGGAUGUCUUCUUCUUGCUUGUGCUUGGGUCAAACCCGAGUCCCUUCUUGGCGAACACUUCAUUGUGUUGGCUCAACACCUCAUCAAGGUUCUUUUGCCCUUGAGCACAUGUUAUGAGCCCUUUCUCAAUUUGAGCCUUGAGAAAAUGAUUCUCCUCAAGAAUAGAUGCUAGAUCACGACUAGAGUUAGUAGAACAAGCAUCAACAUUUAUAAUAGGAGACGAUUAAGCCUUAGCUAGAGUUUCAAGAUAAGUAAGUUUGAGCGUCUCAAAACUCUUUGUAAGAAGGGUGAGCUCUUCUUCCUUAGUCUUGAGUGACACGGAUAGAAGCUCACAAUCCUUAGAGAGAGAAGCAUGAGACUUCACAAGCUUACUUUUAUCAUUCAUCAACUCUUCACAAGAGCCAAUAGCCUUUUUCAAGGAGGCAAGAUCUUUAGUAUGAACAUCAAUAUUUGCACCAAUUUUUAAGCAUAGUUCAUCAUUUCGUGUUUCCUCAUAUUGGACUUUCCGCUCAAGGUUUUCACAUUUUUCCUUUUCCUCGGUGACGAGGGUUUCGAGUUCCUUAAUGGUGAUGGCGUGCUUACUCACCAUCUCCAUAAGCAUACGAAACAUAGUGAGCUUCUUUCCUUUGAGGGAGCACAUGAACUUAUUAAGUUUAGCAAGCAUAGGAUCAUUUAGAUCAUCAUCCUCAUAACUAUCCUCCGCAUCAAGAUACUCAUCACUAGGAGUAGGAGGAGUGAAAAGAGGAGGGUUUGAUCGUGGGGUUACCUUGACCUUGUCAGGAGAGUGUUGAUCCUCUCCAUCUUCUACCACGGUCUUCGCCAUGAGGCACUUAUGAGCGUUGCCCUUGUAAUCCUUCAUGUAGUUGUAGGUGACAACUUCACCACUCUUAUUGACUAGCCUCAAUGUGUUUUGAGAAUCUUGAGCAACUCCAGCAACACCACUAACAUCAUCCGGAUCUGAUUCUUCUUGAGCAACCAUUGCUUUCCCAUCUCUCUUCUUGAGCUUGGAGUUCAAAGGAUUUGGCAAUUUCUUCUUAGGAAAGGUCUUGGGAAACCUUGGUUUAUCUUCUCUCUUCUCAUAAGGGCACUCAUUUGAGAAGUGGUUGGUUUCCUCACAGUUGUAGCAUUUUCUUACUUUCUUCUUUUGAAAUCUUCCCUUGAAUUUUCCCGCGCUAAACUUCUUGACAAAAAGAGCCAUGUCUUCAUAUGAAGGGCCCUCGUCGGAUUCAAUCUCAUCACCAUCUUCAUCAUCAUCAUCAUCAUCUUCUUCUUCUUCACUUUGCUCAUCUUCACAUACAUGCUUGGCCUUCAAUGCAAGAUUGACCUUUGAUGAUGGGGAACCAUGCAUGGCAAGAUGUUUUGUGGCAUUAGCCUUUGACUCUUCAAAUAGUUGAAAGGUGGAUAUGAUGUCACCUGUAGUCAUUUCCUUGAAGGUAUGGUGUUGUCUUAUGUCCCACACCAUUUGAUGGUGAUAUGGAGCAAGAGCAUGAAGCAAUUUAUCCACAAGGAAUCUUUUAGUCAUGUUGAAUCCAUCUUGUGUCUUGUCACACUCACAUGACUCAAUAUCGGCAGUGAGAGUCAUGAGGCGCUCAUGGAGUUGAUUGGGGGUUUUACCUUUCUCCAUACAAAAGUUUUGCAAUUGCCCCUUGGCAAUUUCAUAUUGAGCACUCCGGAGGGUAGAGGUGCCAGUCUUGGAUCGUAUAAUACUUUCCCAUAGUUCCUUGGCACUUGUGAUGUGUAUGAACGGUCUCCUUUGCUUUUCAUCCAUGCCUCUCCUUAUACACAUGAUUGCAGUGUCAUUGAGGUUCUUGUCAUAUAUUUCUCUUGGUGUGGGGUUCUUUGGAUCAACCACAUGAUAGCCAUACUCCAGGAUCUCCAGCAUCGCAUUGUUUCCAUGUCGAAGAUGAUCCUGCAUAGCAACUCUCCACAAGGCAAAAUCGGAAGUGGCACUUAGUAAAGGAGGUUUGCCUUGAGGGUUAUAUCUUGGUUUCUCAACCUGAGGUCUUGCAUAAAGCCAAGGAACACUGGCGUGUUCAUUGCUAGGAGGUUGUUGACCAAGUGAUGGAGUAGGCACAGUUGGCCUCAAGGCAGCACCACCCGAGAGUGGUGCAAGCACUGUGGACAAAGUGGCUAAUCUCAUUUGGAUCAAGGCCUUAAGAGAAGCAUCAUGCUCCUCUUUUUUCUUAGCAAGGGCCCGUUCUAGAUCCUCCGACGUAAAGGACUUGACUUCAAAGGAAGCCUCGCCUUUAUCCUUAGGAUCUACAACCAGGAGAGUCCCAUCCGGGUUCAUCUCGCUCUAGGGCGGUUAAGCCACAAGAAUAGAGCACGAGGCUCUGAUACCAAUUGAAAAGGAUCGAUAUGGACCUAGAGGGGGGGUGAAUAGGUACAAUUACAAAUUUUAUGUAUUACUUAGCAAUUUUAGGCAAUAAUGCGGAAUAUGAAGGUGAGCCUAACAAUUGCUAGUAAGUACUAAGUACAAGGCAAGUAACACAAGCAUAUAAGUGAGCAAGCACAAUAUGAUGUAAGUAAGUGCAAACAAGACAAGUAACCACAAGUAGAGAGUUAGGGUUAGGAAUAACCGCAACUCCGGGAGACAAGGAUGUAUGCCGAUGUUCACUUCCUUGGAGGGAAGCUAGUCACCGUUAGAGAGGUGGAUGUUACCACGAAGGCACACCAACGCCACGAAGGCUCACCCUAUUCUCCCUUUGAGACAACACCACGAAGGCGUUUCUCAACCACUAGUGGUAGACCUUGGGGUGGUCUCCAAACCCUCACAAACUUAUCCGAGGGUAAUCACAAAGGUCGAUUCCUCUCCGAAAGACUCCUACCGCCUAGGAGUCUCCAACCUCCAAGAGUAACAAGAUCGAUGGGGAUUUGCUCAAGACUUGCUCAAAUCACGAAUUCCUUGGGUGCAAAGAAGGAGGAGAAGUGGAUCUAUCACUUGAUCGGACAACUUCUUCCCAAAGCUCUCAAAUCCCUUGGGGAUCUAAGAUUUGGUGUGGAGGAAUGAGAGAGAGUGUGAGAAGUGUUCUAGGGUUUUUUCAAAGUGAAUGGUCAACCUCUCUAGUGGGAAAGAGAGGCAAUAUAUAUAGUGUGAGCUCAAAUAUGGCCGUUGUACUGCAAGUGAACGGGCAGGCCGGACAUCCGGGCUGGAGGCCGGACAUCCGACCUGUCAAGCCACUUGGAGAACAGGGCAGAACAGAGUAGGAACCAAAGGAGCCGGACAUCCGGGGGUCAAGCCCGGACAUCCGGCGUAAAAGGGAAGCCCGGACAUCCGGAAGAUAGUCGGACAUCCGGAGAGCCCACGAACGUUUACAGAACCACAUCAGUUUGUCGGGCAGUAAGGGGCCAAACAUCCGGAAAGGGGCCCGGACAUCCGGCAAGACAGGAAGGCCCGGAAAUCUGGCGCACACCCGGACAUCCGGCGAAAAACAGAAAACCUACUGGACAGGAAGGCCAGAUAUCCGGGGCAAGAGCCGGACAUCCGGGGGAGGACAGCGGCCCAGACAUCCGGCACUCCCAGAGACAGAAUGGAUCAAAGACCUAUAGAAAAGAGUAUUUUGACUCGAGCAAGUCUGUUACGAACCCAAUCGAUCCCCUCUUAAUAGUGGGGGAUCCUAUACUCAAGGAAACAAAAUGAAACAUCAUUUUAACACUUCAACCUUGAGAGAACCCACAUCGUAUGCUCUUGAUCCACACACAAUUUUGACGAACCGGGGACCAACACCUGAGAUUCACUUGGCAUCCAUUGUUAGUCCCCUACAUGUAGAUUGUCAUAACCAACAAAAACAUAAUGUAAGGGCAUGAUUGCACUUUCAAUCUCCCCCUUUUUGUUUGUUGAUGACAAUCAUACAUGUAGUAUCAUAGAUGUAAUAAAUAGUCUUAGCAAUGAUAAUCAUGGGAGCAAAAUGGAUACAGAAUAUGUUUAGUUACAAUUUGCUUUUAGCUCCCCCUCAUUGUGUGCAUGCGAUGAAUAUAUUAGGAUGACCAACACAACAGUUUCGAUGACAGUUAUAUUAUGAGUUUAUGCGUUUUGAUGUACCGAAGGAGUUCGGAGUCCCGGAUGAGAUCAGGACAUGAUGAGGAGUCUCAAAAUGGUCGAGACGUAAAGAUCGAUAUAUUGUACGACUAUAUUCGGACAUCGGAAGGGUUCCGAGUGACUCGGGUAUUUUCGAGGGUACCGGGAAGUUACGGGAAUACGAGGAAGAAGUAAUGGGCCUCAUGGGCCAAGUGGUGGAAGAGAGGAGGCAGGGCGCGCGGCCCCCCUAGCCCAAACCGAAUUGGACUAGGGGGCCGCCCCCCCCCUUUCCUCCUUUUCCUCCCUCUCCUUCCUUCUCCUUCUCCUUCCCUUCCUUCCCCUCUCCUACUUGGACUUGGAAAGAGGGGGGAAUCCUACUUGGAGAAGGAUUGCCCCCCUUGGGCGCGCCUCCUCCCCUUGGCCGACCCUCUCCUCCUCCCCCCUUUAUAUACAGAGGAGGGGGGCACCUCUAGACACAACAACAAUUGAUCAUUGAUCUCUUAGCCGUGUGCGGUGCCCCCUCCACCAAAGUCCUCGAUAAUAUUGUAGCGGUGCUUAGGCGAAGCCCUGCGACGGUAGAACAUCAAGAUCGUCACCACGCCGUCGUGCUGACGGAACUCUUCCCCGACACUCUGCUGGAUCGGGGUCCGGGGAUCGUCAUCGAGCUGAACGUGUGCUAGAACUCGGAGGUGCCGUAGUUUCGGUGCUUGAUCGGUCGGGCCGUGAAGACGUACGACUACAUCAACCGCGUUGUUCUAACGCUUCCGCUUUUGGUCUACGAGGGUACGUAGACAACACUCUCCCCUCUCGUUGCUAUGCAUCACCAUGAUCUUGCGUGUGCGUAGGAAUUUUUUUGAAAUUACUACGUUCCCCAACAGUGGCAUCCAAGCCAGGUUUUAUGCGUAGAUGUCAUACGCACGAGUAGAACACAAGUGAGUUGUGGGUGAUAUAAGUCAUACUGCUUACCAACAUGUCAUACUUUGGUUCAGCGGCAUUGUGAGAUGAAGCGGCCCGAACCGGCAUUACGCGUACGCUUACGCGAGACUGGUUUCACCGCUACGAGCACUCGUUGCUUAAAGGUGACCGGCGGGUGUCUGUCUCUCUCACUUUAGUUGAACCGAGUGUGGCUACGCCCGGUCCUUGCGAAGGUUAAAACAACACCAACGUGACAAACUAUCGUUGUGGUUUUGAUGCGUAGGAAAGAACGGUUCUUGCUAAGCCCGUAGCAGCCACGUAAAAUUUGCAACAACAAAGUAGAGGACAUCUAACUUGUUUUUGCAGGGCAUGUUGUGAUAUGAUAUGGUCAAGACGUGAUGCUAUAUUUUAUUGUAUGAGAUGAUCAUGUUUUGUAACCGAGUUAUCGGCAACUGGCAGGAGCCAUAUGGUUGUCGCUUUAUUGUAUGAAAUGCAAACGCCCUGUAAUUGCUUUACUUUAUCACUAAGCGGUAGUGAUAGUCAUAGAAGCAAUUGAUGGCGUAACGACAACGAUGCUACGAUGGAGAUCAAGGUGUCGCGCUGGUGAUGAUGGUGAUCGCGCCGGUGCUUCGGAGAUGGAGAUCACAAGCACAAGAUGAUGAUGGCCAUAUCAUAUCACUUAUAUUGAUUGCAUGUGAUGUUUAUCAUUUAUGCAUCUUAUCUUGCUUUGAUUGAUGGUAGCAUUUUAAGAUGAUCUCUCACUAAUUAUCAAGAAGUGUUCUGCCUGAGUAUGCACCGUUGUGAAAGUUCUUCGUGCUGAGACACCAUGUGAUGAUCGGGUGUGAUAGGCUCUACGUUCAAAUACAACGGGUGCAAAACAGUUGCACACGCGGAAUAAUCAGGUUAAACUUGACGAGCCUAGCAUAUACGGAUAUGGCCUCGGAACACGGAGACCGAAAGGUCGAACGUGAAUCAUAUAGUAGAUAUGAUCAACAUAGUGAUGUUCACCAUUGAAAACUAAUCCAUCUCACGUGAUGAUCGGACAUGGUUUAGUUGAUUUGGAUCACGUGAUCACUUAGAUGACUAGAGAGAUGUCUAUCUAAGUGGGAGUUCUUAAGUAAUAUGAUUAAUUGAACUUUAAUUUAUCAUGAACUUAGUCCUGAUAGUAUUUUGCAAAUUAUGUUGUAGAUCAAUAGCUCGCGAUGUUGCUUUCAUAUGUUUAUUUUGAUAUGUUCCUAGAGAAAAAUUGUGUUGAAAGAUGUUAGUAGCAAUGAUGCGGAUUGGAUCCGUGAUCUGAGGUUUAUCCUCAUUGCUGCACAGAAGAAUUAUGUCCUUAAUGCACCGCUAGGUGAUAGACCUAUUGCAGGAGCAGAUGCAGACGUUAUGAACAUUUGGCUAGCUCAAUAUGAUGACUACUUGAUAGUUUAGUGCACCAUGCUUAACGGCUUAGAAUCGGGACUUCAAAGACGUUUUGAACGUCAUGGACCAUAUGAGAUGUUCCAGGAGUUGAAGUUAAUAUUUCAAGCAAAUACCCGAAUUGAGAGAUAUGAAGUCUCCAACAAGUUCUAUAGCUAAAAGAUGGAGGAGAAUUGCUCAACUAGUGAGCAUGUGCUCAGAUUGUCUGGGUACUACAAUCGCUUGAAUCAAGUGGGAGUUAAUCUUCCAGAUAAGAUAGUGAUUGACAGAGUUCUCUAGUCACCAUCACCAAGUUACUAGAACUUCGUGAUGAACUAUAGUAUGCAAGGGAUGACGAAAAUGAUUCCCGAGCUCUUCGUGAUGCUGAAAUCAACGAAGGUAGAAAUCAAGAAAGAGCAUCAAGUGUUGAUGAUUGACAAGACCACUAAUUUCAAGAAUAGGGCAAAGGGAAAGAAAGGGAACUUCAUAUAGAAUGGCAAGCAAGUUGUCACUCCCGUGAAGAAGCCCAAAGCUGGACCAAAGCCUGAAACUGAGUGCUUCUACUGCAAAGGAAAUGGUCACUGGAAGCGGAAAUGCUCUGAAUAUUUGGUAGAUAAGAAGGAUGGCAAAGUGAACAAGGGUAUAUUUGAUAUACAGGUUAUUGAUGUGUACCUUACUAGUGUUUAUAGUAGCCCCUGAGUAUUUGAUACUUGCUCGGUUGCUAAUAAUUAGUAACUCGAAAUAGGAGUUAAAUAAACAGAGACUAGUUGAGGGUGAAGUGACGAUGAGUGUUGGAAGUAGUUCCAAGAUUGAUAUGAUCAUCAUCGCACACUCCCUAUACUUUCGGGAUUAGUGUUAAACCUAAAUAAAUGUUAUUUGGCGUUUGCGUUGAGCGUGAAUAUGAUUUGAUCAUGUUUAUUGCAAUACGGUUAUUCAUUUAAAGUCAGAGAAUAAUUGUUGUUCUGUUUACAUGAAUAAAACCUUCAAUGGUCAUACACCCAAUAAAAAUAGUUUGUUGGAUCUCGAUCGUAGUGAUACACAUAUUCAUAAUAUUGAUGCCAAAAGAUGCAAAAGUUAAUAAUGAUAGUGCAACUUAUUUGUGGCACUGCCGUUUGGGUCAUAUCGGUGGAAAGCGCAUGAAGAAACUCCAUAAAGAUGGAUUUUCGGAAUCACUUGGUUAUGAAUCAUUUGAUGCUUGCGAACCGUACCUUUUGGGCAAGAUUACUAAAACUCCGUUCUCCGGAACAAUGGAACGAGCUACUGACUUGUUGGAAAUAAUACAUACCGACGUAUGCAGUCCAAUGAGUGUUGAUACUCGUGGCGGGUAUCGUUAUUUUCUGAUCUUCACAGAUGAUUUGAGCAGAUAUGAGUAUAUCUACUUAAUGAAGCACAAGUCUGAAACAUUUGAAAAGUUCAAAGAAUUUCAGAAUGAAGUGGAGAAUCAUCGUAACAAGAAAAUAAAAGUUUCUACGAUCUGAUCGUGGAGAAGAAUAUUUGAGUUACGAGUUUGGCCUUCAUUUUAAACAAUGUGGAAUAGUUUCACACCUCACGCCACAUGGAACACCACAGCGUAAUGGUGUGUCCGAACGUCGUAACCGCACUUUAUUGGAUAUGGUGCGAUCUACGAUGUAUCUUAUCGAUUUACCACUAUCGUUUUUGGGGUUAUGCAUUAGAAAUAGCUGCAUUCACUUUAAAUAGGGCACCAUCUAAAUUCGUUGAGACGACACCAUAUGAACUAUGGUUUAGGAGUAAACCUAAGCUGUUGUUUCUUAAAGUUUGGAGUUACGAUGCUUAUGUGAAAAAGGUUUCAACCAGAUAAGCUCGAACCCAAAUCGGAGAAAUGUGUCUUCAUAGGAUACCCAAAAGGGACUAUUGGGUACACCUUCUAUCAUAGAUAUGAGGGCAAGACUUUUGUUGCUAAAUUCGGAUCCUUUCUAGAGAAGGAGUUUCUCUCGAAAGAAGUGAGUGGGAGGAAAGUAGAACUUGAUGAGGCAACUGUACCUGCUCCCUUAUUGGAAAGUAGUUCAUCACAAGAACUGGUUCCUGUGACAACUACACCAAUCAGUGAGGAAGCUAAUGAUAUUGAUCAUGAAACUUCAGAUCAAGUUACUACCGAACCUCGUAGGUCAACCAGAGUAAGAUCCGCACCAGAGUGGUAUGGUAAUCCUACUCUGGAAGUCAUGUUACUUGACCAUGGCGAACCUACGAACCAUGAGGAAGCGAUGAUGAGCCCAGAUUCCGCGAAAUGGCUUGAAGGCCAUGAAAUCUGAGAUGGGAUCCAUAUAUGAGAACAAAGUGUGGACUUUGAUUGACUUGCCCGAUGAUCGGCAAGCCAUAGAAAAUAAAUGAAUCUUCAGGAGGAAGACGGACAUUGAUAAUAGUGUUAUUAUCUACAAAGCUAGAUUUGUCGAAAAAGGUUUUUGACAAAGUUCAAGAUGUUGACUACGAUGAGUUUUUUUCUCACUCGUAUCGAUGCUUAAAGUUUGUCCGAAUCAUGUUAGCAAUUGCCACAUUUUAUGAAAUCUGGCAAAAGGAUGUCAAAACUGCAUUCUUUAAUGGAUUUAGAGUUGUAUAUGAUGCAACCAGAAGGUUUUGUCAAUCCUAAAGGUGCUAACAAAUUGUGCAAGCUCCGGCAAUCCAUCUAUGGACUGGUGCAAGCAUCUCGGAGUUGGAAUAUAUGCUUUGAUGAGUUGAUCAAAGCAUAUAGUUUUAUACAGACUUGCGGUGAAGCCUGUAUUUACAAUAAAGUGAGUGGGAGCACUACCGCCUUUCUGAUAAAUAUAUGUGAGUAACAUAUUGUUGAUCAGAAAUGAUGUAGAAUUUUUCUGGAAAGCAUAAAGGAGUAUUUGAAAGGAGUUCUUUAAAAGAAAGACCUCAGUAAAGCUACUUACAUAUUGAGCAUCAAGAUCUAUUGAGAUAGAUCAAGACGCUUGAUAAGUUUUUCAAUAAGUACAUACCUUGUCAAGUUUUUGAAGUAGUUCAAAAUGGAACAGUCAAAGAAAGAGUUCUUGCCUGUGUUGCAAUGGUAUGAAAUUGAGUAAGACUCAAAUCCCGAGCACGGCAAAAAAUAGAAAAGAGAAUGAAAGUCAUUCCCUAUGCCUCAAUCAUAGGUUCUAUAAAGUAUGCUAUGCUAUGUACCAGACCUAUUGUAUACCUUGCUGUGUAUUUGGCAAGGGAGUACAAUAGUGAUCUAGGAGUAGAUCACUGGACAUUGGUCAAGAAUAUCCUUAGUAAGGACUAAGAAAAUAUUUCUCGAUUAUGGAGGUGAUAAAAGAGCCCGUCGUAAAGAGUUACAUCGGUGCAAGCUUUUACACCGAUCCAGAUGACUCUAAGUCUCAAUCUGGAAGUGGGAGCAAUUAGCUAGAGUAGCUCCGUGCAGAGCAUUGUAGACAUAGAAUAUUUGCAAAAUACAUAUGGCUCUCAAUGUGACAGACCCGUUGACUAAGCUUCUCUCACGAGCAAAACAUGAUCACACCUCAGUACUCUUUGGGUGUUAAUCACAUAGCAAUGUGAACUAGAUUAUUGACUCUAGUAAACCCGUUGGGUGUUGGUCACAUGACGAUGUGAACUAUGGGUGUUAAUCAUAUACAGAUAUGAAUAUUGGUGUUAAAUCACAUGGCGAUGUGAACUAGAUUAUUGACUCUAGUGCAAGUGGGAGACUGAAGGAAAUAUGCCCUAGAGGCAAUAAAGUUAUUAUUUAUUUCCUUAUUUCAUGAUAAAUGUUUAUUAUUCAUGCUAGAAUUGUAUUAACCGGAAACAUAAUACAUGUGUGAAUACAUAGAUAAACUUAAUGUCACUAGUAUGCCUCUACUUGACUAGCUCAUUAAUCAAAGAUGGUUAUGUUUCCUAACCAUAGACAUGAGUUGUCAUUUGAUUAACGGGAUCACAUCAUUAGUAGAAUGAUGUGAUUGACAUGACCCAUUUCGUUAGCUUAGCACUUGAUCGUUUAGUAUGUUGCUAUUGCUUUCUUCAUGACUUAUACAUGUUCCUACAACUAUGAGAUUAUGCAACUCCCGUUUACCGAAGGAACACUUUGUGUGCUACCAAACGUCACAACGUAACUGGGUGAUUAUAAAGGAGCUCUACAGGUGUCUCCGAAGGUACAUGUUGGGUUGGCGUAUUUCGAGAUUAGGAUUUGUCACUCCGAUUGUCAGAGAGGUAUCUCUGGGCCCUCUCGGUAAUGCACAUCACUAUAAGCCUUGCAAGCAAUGUAACUAAUGAGUUAGUUACGAAAUGAUGCAUUACAUAACGAGUAAAGAGACUUGCCGGUAACGAGAUUGAACUAGGUAUUGAGAUACCGACGAUCGAAUCUCGGGCAAGUAACAUACCGAUGACAAAGGGAACAACGUAUGUUGUUAUGCGGUUUGACCGAUAAAGAUCUUCGUAGAAUAUGGAGGAGCCAAUAUGAGCAUCCAGGUUCCGCUAUUGGUUAUUGACCGGAAACGUGUCUCGGUCAUGUCUACAUAGUUCUCGAACCCGUAGGGUCCGCACGCUUAACGUUUCGAUGACAGUUAUAUUAUGAAUUUAUGAGUUAUGAUGUACCGAAGGAGUUCGGAGUCCCAGAUGAUAUCGGGGACAUGACGAGGAGUCUCUAAAUGGUCGAGACGUAAAGAUCAAUAUAUUGGACGACUAUAUUCGGACAUCGGAAGGGUUUCAAGUGAUUCGGGUAUUUUCGGGGGUACCGGGGAGUUACGGGAAUACGAGGAAGAAGCAAUGGGCCUCAUGGGCCAAGUGGUGGAAGAGAGGAGGCAGGGCGCGCGGCCCCCCUAGCCCAAACCGAAUUGGACUAGGGGGCCGGCCCCCCUUUCCUCCUUUUCCUCCCUCUCCUUCCUUCUCCUUCUCCUUCCCUUCCUUCCCCUCUCCUACUUGGACUAGGAAAGAGGGGGGAAAUCCUACUUGGAGUAGGAUUGCCCCCCUUGGGCGCGCCUCCUCCCCUUGGUCGGCCCUCUCCUCCUUCCCCCCUCCCUUUAUAUACGGAGGAGGGGGGCACCUCUAGACACAACAACAAUUGAUCAUUGAUCUCUUAGCCGUGCGCGGUGCCCCCCUCCACCAAAGUCCUCGAUAAUAUUGUAGCGGUGCUUAGGCGAAGCCCUGCGACGGUACAACAUCAAGAUCGUCACCACGCCGUCGUGCUGACGGAACUCUUCCCCGACACUCUGUGUUGGAAAUAUGCCCUAGAGGCAAUAAUAAAUUGAUUAUUAUUAUAUUUUCUUGUUCAUGAUAAUCGUUUAUUAUCCAUGCUAGAAUUGUAUUGAUAGGAAACUCAGAUACAUGUGUGGAUACAUAGACAACACCAUGUCCCUAGUAAGCCUCUAGUUGACUAGCUCGUUAAUCAAUAGAUGGUUACGGUUUCCUGACCAUGGACAUUGGAUGUCGUUGAUAACGGGAUCACAUCAUUAGGAGAAUGAUGUGAUGGACAAGACCCAAUCCUAAGCCUAGCACAAGAUCAUGUAGUUCGUAUGCUAAAGCUUUUCUAAUGUCAAGUAUCAUUUCCUUAGACCAUGAGAUUGUGCAACUCCCGGAUACCGUAGGAGUGCUUUGGGUGUGCCAAACGUCACAACGUAACUGGGUGGCUAUAAAGGUACACUACGGGUAUCUCUGAAAGUGUCUGUUGGGUUGGCACGAAUCGAGAUUGGGAUUUUAUCACUCCGUGUAAACGGAGAGGUAUCUCUGGGCCCACUCGGUAGGACAUCAUCAUAAUGUGCACAAUGUGACCAAGGGGUUGAUCACGGGAUGAUGUGUUACGGAACGAGUAAAGAGACUUGCCGGUAACGAGAUUGAACAAGGUAUCGGUAUACCGACGAUCGAAUCUCGGGCAAGUACCAUACCGCUAGACAAAGGGAAUUGUAUACGGGAUUGAUUGAGUCCUUGACAUCGUGGUUCAUCCGAUGAGAUCAUCGUGGAACAUGUGGGAGCCAACAUGGGUAUCCAGAUCCCGCUGUUGGUUAUUGACCGGAGAACAUCUCGGUCAUGACUACAUGUCUCCCGAACCCGUAGGGUCUACACACUUAAGGUUCGAUGACGCUAGGGUUAUAAAGGAAGUUUGUAUGUGGUUACCGAAUGUUGCCCGGAGUCCCGGAUGAGAUCCCGGACGUCACGAGGAGUUCCGGAAUGGUCCGGAGGUAAAGAUUUAUAUAUAGGAAGUCCUGUUUCGGCCAUCGGGACAAGUUUCGGGGUCAUCGGUAUUGUACCGGGACCACCGGAAGGGUCCCGGGGGCCCACCGGGUGGGGCCACCUGCCCCGGGGGGCCACAUGGGCUGUAGGGGGUGCGCCUUGGCCUACAUGGGCCAAGGGCACCAGCCCCUAGAGGCCCAUGCGCCAAGAUAUAGGAAAAAGGGGAGAGUCCUAAAGGGGGAAGGCACCUCCGAGGUGCCUUGGGGAGGAUGGACUCCUCCCCCCCCUCUUAGCCGCACCCCUUUCUUGGAGGAAGGGGCAAGGCUGCGCCUCCCCCCUCUCCCCUGCCCCUAUAUAUAGUGGAGGGGAGGGAGGGCAUCCAUACCUGAGCCCUUGGCGCCUCCCUCCCUCCCGUGACACCUCCUCCUCUCCCGUAGAUGCUUGGCGAAGCCCUGCAGGAUUGCCACGCUCCUCCAUCACCACCACGCCGUUGUGCUGCUGCUAGAUGGAGUCUUCCUCAACCUCUCCCACUCUCCUUGCUGGAUCAAGGCAUGGGAGACGUCACCGGGCUGUAUGUGUGUUGAACGCGGAGGUGCCGUCCAUUCGGCACUAGGAUCUCCGGUGAUUUGGAUCACGACGAGUACGACUCCUUCAACCCCGUUCUCUUGAACGCUUCCGCUUAGCGAUCUACAAGGGUAUGUAGAUGCACUCUCCUUCCCCUCGUUGCUAGUCUCUCCAUAGAUAGAUCUUGGUGUUACGUAGGAAAAUUUUGAAUUUCUGCUACGUUCCCCAACAGUGGCAUCAUGAGCUAGGUCUAUUGCGUAGAUUCUUUGCACGAGUAGAACACAAAGUAGUUGUGGGCGUCGAUAUUGUUCAAUAUGCUUGCCGUUACUAGUCUUAUCUUGAUUCGGCGGCAUCGUGGGAUGAAGCGGCCCGGACCAACCUUACACGUACGCUUACGUGAGACCGGUUCCACCGAAAAACAUGCACUAGUUGCAUAAGGUGGCUGGCGGGUGUCUGUCUCUCCCACUUUAGUCGGAUCGGAUUCGAUGAAAAGGGUCCUUAUGAAGGGUAAAUAGCAAUUGGCAUAUCACGUUGUGGUUCAUGCGUAGGUAAGAAACGUUCUUGCUAGAAACCCAUAGCAGCCACGUAAAACAUGCAAACAACAAUUAGAGGACGUCUAACUUGUUUUUGCAGGGUAUGCUAUGUGAUGUGAUAUGGCCAAAAAGGAUGUGAUGAAUGAUAUAUGUGAUGUAUGAGAUUGAUCAUGUUCUUGUAAUAGGAAUCACGACUUGCAUGUCGAUGAGUAUGACAACCGGCAGGAGCCAUAGGAGUUGUCUUUAUUUAUUUGUGACCUGCGUGUCAACUUAAACGUCAUGUAAUUACUUUACUUUAUUGCUAACCGUUAGCCAUAGUAGUAGAAGUAAUAGUUGGCGAGGCAACUUCAUGAAGACACGAUGAUGGAGAUCAUGAUGAUGGAGAUCAUGGUGUCAUGCCGGUGACGAUGAUGAUCAUGGAGCCCCGAAGAUGGAGAUCAAAAGGAGCAAAGAGAUGAUGGCCAUAUCAUGUCACUAUUUGAUUGCAUGUGAUGUUUAUCAUGUUUAUACAUCUUAUUUGCUUAGAACGAUGGUAGUAAAUAAGAUGAUCCCUUACAACAAUUUCAAGAAGUGUUCUCCCCUAACUGUGCACCGUUGCGACAGUUCGUGUUUCGAAGCACCACGUGAUGAUCGGGUGUUAGAUUCUAACGUUCACAUACAACGGGUGUAAGACAGAUUUACACACGCGAAACACUUAGGGUUAACUUGACGAGCCUAGCAUGUACAGACAUGGCCUCGGAACACGGAGACCGAAAGGUCGAACAUGAGUCGUAUAGAAGAUACGAUCAACAUGAAGAUGUUCACCGAUGAUGACUAGUCCGUCUCACGUGAUGAUCGGACACGGCCUAGUUUGACUCGGAUCAUGUAAUCACUUAGAUGACUAGAGGGAUGUCUAUCUGAGUGGGAGUUCAUAAGAUGAACUUAAUUAUCCUGAACAUAAUCAAAAGGUUUUUGCAAAUUAUGUCGUAGCUCACGCUAUAGUUCUACUGUUUAGAUAUGUUCCUAGAGAAAAAUUAGUUGAAAGUUGAUAGUAGCAAUUAUGCGGACUAGGUCCGUAAACUGAGGAUUGUCCUCAUUGCUUCAUAGAAGGCUUAUGUCCUUAAUGCACCGCUCAGUGUGCUGAACCUCGAACGUUGUCUGUGGUUGUUGCGAACAUCUGACAUACACGUUUUGAUAACUACGUGAUAGUUCAGUUAAACGGUUUAGAGUUGAGGCACCAAAGACGUUUUUGAAACAUCGCGAAACAUAUGAGAUGUUUUGAGGGCUGAAAUUGGGAUUUCAGGCUCGUGCCCAUGUCAAGAGGUAUAAGACCUCCGAUGACUUUCUUAACCUGCAAACUAAGGAGAAAAGCUCAAUUGUUGAGCUUAUGCUCAGAUUGUCUGAGUACAACAAUCAUUUGAAUCGAGUGGGAGUUGAUCUUCUAGAUAAGACAGUGAUGGUUCUCCAAAGUCAUUGCCACCAAGCUGUUAGAGCUUCGUGAUGAACUAUAACAUAUCAGGGAUAGAUAUGAUGAUCCUUGAGGUAUUCGCGAUGUUUGACACCGCGAAAGUAGAAAUCAAGAAGGAGCAUCAAUUGUUGAUGGUUGGUGAAACCACUAGUUUCAAGAAGGGCAAGGGCAAGAAGGGAUACUUCAUGAAACGGCAAAUCAGCUGCUGCUCUAGUGAAGAAACCCAAGGUAAAACCCAAACCCGAGACUAAGUGCUUCUGUAAUAAGGGGAACAACCACUAGAGCAGAAUUACCCUAGAUACUUGGUAGAUAAGAAGGCUGGCAAGGUCGAUAGAAGUAUAUUGGAUAUACAUUGUGUUAAUGUGUACUUUGCUAGUAGCACCAGGGUAUUAGAUACCGGUUCGGUUGCUAAGUGUUAGUAACUCGAAACAAAAGGCUACGGAAUAAACGGAGACUAGCUAAAGGUGAGCUGACGAUAUGUGUUGGAAGUUUUUCCAAGCUUGAUAUGAUCAAGCAUCGCACGCUCCCUCUACCAAAGAGAUUAGGUGUUAAACCUAAAUAAUUGUUAUUUGGUGUUUGCGUUGAGCAUAGACAUGAUUGGAUUAUGUCUAUCACAAUACGGUUAUUCAUUUAAGGAGAAUAAUGGUUACUCUGUUUAUUUGAAUAAUACCUUCAAUGGUCUUACACCUAAAAUGAAUGGUUUAUUAAAUCUCGAUCGUAGUGAUACACAUGUUCAUGCCAAAAGAUAGUAAUGAUAGUACCACCUACUUGUGGCACUGCCACGUAAGUCAUAUCGGUAUAAAACGCAUGAAGAAGCUCCAUAUUGAUGGAUCUUUGGGCUCACUCGUUUUUGAAAAGUUUGAGACAUGCGAACCAUGUCUAUUGGUGUAUAUGCAUGAAGAAACUCCAUGCAAAUGGACCGUUUUGACUCACUUGAUUUUGAAUCACUUGGGACAUGCAAAUCAUACCACAUGGGCAAGAUGACUGAAAAGCCUCGUUUUCAGUAAGAUGGAACAAGAUAGCAACUUGUUGGAAGUAACACAUUUUGAUGUGUGCAGUCCAAUGAGUGCUGAGGCAUGCAGUGAAUAUCGUUAUGUUCUUACUUCAUAGAUGAUUUGAGUAGAUGUUGAGUAUAUUUACUUGAUGAAUCACGAGUCUGAAUUAUUGAAAGGUUCAAGUAAUUUCAGUGAAGUAGAAGAUCAUUGUGACAAGAGGAUAAAAUGUCUAUGAUACGAUCAUAGAGAUGAAUAUCUGAGUUACGAGUUUUGGCACACAAUUAAGACAUUGUGGAAAUUGUUUCGCAAUUAAUACCGCCUGGAACACCAUAGUGUGAUGGUGUGUCCGAACAUCAUAGUUGCACCCUAUUGGAUAUGGUGCGUACCAUGAUGUCUCUUAUCGAAUUACCACUAUCGUUCAUGGGUUAGGCAUUAGAGACAACCACAUUCACUUUAAAUAGGGCACCACGUAAUUCCGUUGAGAUGACACCGUAUGAAUUAUGGUUUAGAGAAACCUAAGUUGUCGUUUCUUAAAGGUUUGGGGCUGCGACGCUUAUGUGGAAAAGUUUCAGGAUUGAUAAGCUCGAACCCAAAGCGGAUAAAAUGCAUCUUCAUAGGACACCCAAAACAGUUGGGUAUACCUCCUGUCUCAGAUCCGAAAGCAAUAUGAAUUGUUUCUAGAAUCGGGUCCUUUCUCGAGGAAAGGUUUCUCUCAAAAAGUUGAGUGGGAGGAUGGUGGAGACUUGAUGAGGUUAUUGAACCGUCACUUCAACAAGUGUGUAGCAGGGCACAGGAAGUUGUUCCUGUGGCACGUACACCAACUGAAGUGGAAGCUUAUGAUAGUGAUCAUGAAACUUCGGAUCGAGUCACUACCAAACCUCGUGGGAUGACAAGGAUGCGUACUACUUCAGAGUGGUACAAAAUCCUGUCUUGGAAGUCAUGUUGCUAGACAACAAUGAACCUACGAGCUAUGGAGAAGCGAUGGUGGGCCCGGAUUCCGAUAAAUGGCUCAAGGCCAUAAAACCCGAGAGAGGAUCCAUGUAUGAAAACAAAGUGUAGACUUCGGAAGAACUACUUGAUGGUCGUAAGGCUGUUAGGUACAUAUGGAUUUUGAAAGGAAGACAGACAAUGAUGGUAAGUGUCACCAUUGAGAAAACUCGACUUGUCGUUAAGAUGUUUUUCGACAAGUUCAAGGAGUUGACUACGAUGAGACUUUCUCACUCGUAGCGAUGCUAAGAGUCUAUUGGAAUUAUAUUAGCAAUUACUGCAUUAUUUAUGAAAUCUUGCAGAUAGGAUGUCAAAACAUUGUUUCCUCGACGAUUCUUGAGGAAAGGUUGUAUGUGAUACAACCGGAAGGUUUUGUCUAUCCUGAAAUAUGCUAAUAAGUAUGCAAAGCUCCAGCAAUCCUUCUAAGGACUGGAGUGAGCAUCUCGGAGUUGGAAUGUAUGCUUUGAUGAUGAUCAAAGAUUUUGGGUGUAUACAAAGUUUAUGAGAAACUUGUAUUUCCAAAGAAGUGAGUGGGAGCACUAUAGAAUUUCUGAUAAAUAUAUGUUGACAUAUUGUUGAUCAGAAAUGACGUAGAAUUUCUGGAAAGUAUAUAGGGUUAUUUGUAAAGUGUUUUUCAAUGGAAAGCCUGGAUUAAGCUACUUGAACAUUGAGCAUCAAGAUCUAUAAGGAUAGAUCAAAACGCUUAAUGGUACUUUCAAAUGAGCACAUACCUUGACAUGAUCUUGAAGGUGUUCAAGAUGGAUCAGUCAAAGAAGGAGUUCUUGCCUGAGUUGUAAGGUAUGAAGUUAAGACUUAAAGCUCGACCACGGCAGAAUAGAGAGAAAGGACGAAGGUCGUCCCCUAUGCUUAAGACAUAGGCUCUACAGUAUGCUAUGCUGUGUACCGCACCUGAAGUGUGCCUUGCCAUGAGUCAGUCAAGGGGUACAAAAGUGAUCCAAGAAUGGAUCACAGGACAGCGGUCAAAGUUAUCCUUAGUAACUAGUGGACUAAGGAAUUUUCUCGAUUAUGGAGGUGGUAAAAGAGUUCGUCGUAAAGGGUUACGCCGAUGCAAGCUUCGACACUAAUCCAGAUUAUUCUGAGUAGUAAACUGGAUUCGUACAGUAGAAUAGAUAUUUGGAAUAGCUCCAAAUAGAGCAUGGUAGCUACAUCUAGGAGAUGACAUAGAGAUUUGUAAAGAACACACGGAUCUGAAAGGUUCAGACCCGUUGACUAAAACCUCUCUCACAAGCAACAUGAUCAAACCUAAAACUCAUUGAGUAUUAAUCACAUAGUGAUGUGAACUAGACUACUGAUUCUAGUAAACUCUUGGGUGUUAGUCACAUGGCGAUGUGACCUGUGAGUGUUAAUCACAUGGUGAUGUGAACUAGAUUAUUGACUCUAGUGCAAGUGGGAGACUGUUGGAAAUAUGCCCUAGAGGCAAUAAUAAAUUGAUUAUUAUUAUAUUUCCUUGUUCAUGAUAAUCGUUUAUUAUCCAUGCUAGAAUUGUAUUGAUAGGAAACUCAGAUACAUGUGUGGAUACAUAGACAACACCAUGUCCCUAGUAAGCCUCUAGUUGACUAGCUCGUUAAUCAAUAGAUGGUUACGGUUUCCUGACCAUGGACAUUGGAUGUCGUUGAUAACGGGAUCACAUCAUUAGGAGAAUGAUGUGAUGGACAAGACCCAAUCCUAAGCCUAGCACAAGAUCAUGUAGUUCGUAUGCUAAAGCUUUUCUAAUGUCAAGUAUCAUUUCCUUAGACCAUGAGAUUGUGCAACUCCCGGAUACCGUAGGAGUGCUUUGGGUGUGCCAAACGUCACAACAUAACUGGGUGGCUAUAAAGUACACUACGGGUAUCUCUGAAAGUGUCUGUUGGGUUGGCACGAAUCGAGAUUGGGAUUUUGUCACUCCGUGUAAACGGAGAGGUAUCUCUGGGCCCACUCGGUAGGACAUCAUCAUAAUGUGCACAAUGUGACCAAGGGGUUGAUCACGGAAUGAUGUGUUACGGAACGAGUAAAGAGACUUGCCGGUAACGAGAUUGAACAAGGUAUCGGUAUACCGACGAUCGAAUCUCGGGCAAGUACCAUACCGCUAGACAAAGGGAAUUGUAUACGGGAUUGAUUGAGUCCUUGACAUCGUGGUUCAUCCGAUGAGAUCAUCGUGGAACAUGUGGGAGCCAACAUGGGUAUCCAGAUCCCGCUGUUGGUUAUUGACCGGAGAACAUCUCGGUCAUGACUACAUGUCUCCCGAACCCGUAGGGUCUACACACUUAAGGUUCGAUGACGCUAGGGUUAUAAAGGAAGUUUGUAUGUGGUUACCGAAUGUUGCUCGGAGUCCCGGAUGAGAUCCCGGACGUCACGAGGAGUUCCGGAAUGGUCCGGAGGUAAAGAUUUAUAUAUAGGAAGUCCUGUUUCGGCCAUCGGGACAAGUUUCGGGGUCAUCGGUAUUGUACCGGGACCACCGGAAGGGUCCCGGGGACCCACCGGGUGGGGCCACCUGCCCCGGGGGGCCACAUGGGCUGUAGGGGGUGCGCCUUGGCCUACAUGGGCCAAGGGCACCAGCCCCUAGAGGCCCAUGCGCCAAGAUAUAGGAAAAAGGGGAGAGUCCUAAAGGGGGAAGGCACCUCUGAGGUGCCUUGGGGAGGAUGGACUCCUCCCCCCCCCUCUUAGCCGCACCCCUUUCUUGGAGGAAGGGGCAAGGCUGCGCCUCCCCCCUCUCCCCUGCCCCUAUAUAUAGUGGAGGGGAGGGAGGGCAUCCAUACCUGAGCCCUUGGCGCCUCCCUCCCUCCCGUGACACCUCCUCCUCUCCCGUAGAUGCUUGGCGAAGCCCUGCAGGAUUGCCACGCUCCUCCAUCACCACCACGCCGUUGUGAUGCUGCUAGAUGGAGUCUUCCUCAACCUCUCCCACUCUCCUUGCUGGAUCAAGGCAUGGGAGACGUCACCGGGCUGUAUGUGUGUUGAACGCGGAGGUGCCGUCCAUUCGGCACUAGGAUCUCCGGUGAUUUGGAUCACGACGAGUACGACUCCUUCAACCCCGUUCUCUUGAACGCUUCCGCUUAGCGAUCUACAAGGGUAUGUAGAUGCACUCUCCUUCCCCUCGUUGCUAGUCUCUCCAUAGAUAGAUCUUGGUGUUACGUAGGAAAAUUUUGAAUUUCUGCUACGUUCCCCAACACUCUGCUGGAUCGGAGUCCGGGGAUUGUCAUCGAGCUGAACGUGUGCUAGAACUCGGAGGUGCCGUAGUUUCGGUGCUUGAUCGGUCGAGCCGUGAAGACGUACGACUACAUCAACCACGUUGUUCUAACGCUUCCGCUUUCGGUCUACGAGGGUACGUAGACAACACUCUCCCCUCUCGUUGCUAUGCAUCACCAUGAUCUUGCGUGUGCGUAGGAAUUUUUUUGAAAUUACUAUGUUCCCCAACACGUAGGGCGUGCCGUCCAAGCUUGUGGGCCCUCGGGACUCCAUCCGGCGUGAAUCCAACGCAAAAAAUCCUAUAAAUAUAUAAACACUCGAAAAGUAACAUAGAACUUCUCCGCCGUUGUUGCAAGCCUCUGUACCAAAGUGAUCUCAUCUGGAGCCUUUUUACGGCGCCCUGCCGAAUGGAGAAGCCAUCACGGAGGCCAUAUUCAUCAUCCUUGCUGCCUCCAUGGUGAUGCCUGAGUAGUUCAUCCUCGGGGUUGAGGGUUUGUACCAGUAGCUAUGUGUUUGAUCCUCUCUCUCUCUCUCUCCCUCUCUCUCUCUCCCUCUCCCUCUCUCUCUCUCUCUCCCUCCCUCCCUCUCUCUCUCUCUCUCUCCCUCCCUCUCUCUCUCUCUCUCUGUCUCUCUCUCUCGUGUUCUUGAUUUGACAUGAUCUUAAAGUAUCAUGAGUUUUAUCAAUAUAAUUGGAUCUUAUGGUGUUCUUCUCCGCUAUCUCUUUUGCGGUGAAUUGAGUCUUGCUCUUUAAAGUUUUAUGUUGAAUUGAAUAUUUUGGAUUUAAGAUCACUUGAUGCAUGUCUAACUUGCGGAUUCCCAUGAUGACAUUGGGGUAAUUUAAGUGACAUAAGAGUUGAUUGAUACGUAUCAUAUGAUUUUGUCGUAGUAUGAUCUCUAGAACUAUGCGUGACACUUUGGGGGUGGUUCAAUAGAUUGACUGGAAACACAAUUUUGAGGUGGUUUACUACCUACGCGAUUUCAUCCUACUUUCUUUGAUAGGAAUAGAGACUUUGGAGUGAUUCUUUGUCGCACCUUGAGGGAUCAUAACAUGAUUCAGUUAUGUUAGUAAUGUUGAGAGACUUUUUUUUACCGAAAAGCCUUCAUGACUAGCUUUAUUAACUCAAAUCAAACUUACAUCUUCUGCUAACAAAGGAAUAAUAAAGCUAGGAGGUGUAUCUGACCACAAAGUCGGUGGAUUACUCCUCAAAAACCUAGCUAUCAGAUGAGCAACCAUGUUUGACUUCCAGUUACAAUAUUUAACAAGUACCUUCCCGAAAUUCGAAAGUAGACUUUGACAUUCAUUGAGUAUUGGUUCUGCAAUCAUUGAGUAACCCUCAUUCAAAUUCAACGCCUCUACCACAGUUACAUUAUCAGUUUGGACAGUUACGUUGGCACACCCAAGCCUCUGAAUGAGCAUUAGACCUUGACGCAAUGCUUCUGAUUCGGCCGAGAUCACAUCGGCUACAUGCUCCGGGCAAGUAGUUGAUGCAGCGACAAACCCCCCCCCCCAAGUGGUCACGUACCAUAAAUCCACAUGAACCAGAGUCUUCAUCAUCAGAAAAGGAUGCAUCCAUGUUAAGGAUUUGCAAUCCAGAUGGUGGCUUCUUCAGUUCAUUCAAGCGACCAUGUACCACUCGCAAUCAUGUUGAUCGAACAAAGUUUAGAGAUAAGGCGUGUAUUGCUAGUGUUGUGCGAUCAAUUUUCUGCACCUGUUCUCCCCUCAUAAUUUCUCUUCUUUGCCACCACAAGUACCAGCACAUAGAUGCAAUUAUCUCAGGAAUUUGAAUGCAACCAGAAAAGGUGCAUUGAAAUUUAUUUUCGCACAAUGGGAACUCAAGCACCUUUGCACCCGAUCGGUCCACCGCCAGAGCUUCUUCUAUUAUUUCAUGCAAGCCCAACUCUCUCCAUAUAUUGUUCGCCCGGCCACAUGUGAAAAGCGCAUGUUUAAUAUCCUCGAUGCUACUUUAGCAUAAUGGGCAUUGAGAAAUAUUACCCACAUGGCGGUUGGCGAGUGUACAAAGGAAAGGAAUCAUAUUGUGCAAGCACCUCCACACAAAUAUCUUUAUCUUCCCCAGUAGUUUAAUAUUCCAAACUUUUUUCCAUACUGGAUGGUUAAGUGAACUAGUUUGUCCCUCUUCACUUUGCAGUUUACUUCCAAACAGAUCAUCGCAUUCAACAUGAUAUGCUGACCGUACACUAAAUGUACCACUUUUUGUAAAAUGCCAUGCGAUAUUGUCCUCCUCUUCAUGGUGUGAAAGUAGGUUCUGUAAAAUUUGUUCUGCAUCGAUUUACCAAAAGUUAUAACGCACGAGCAAUUCAUCCCAUUCACUAGAGGUGGGAUCUAUUAGUUCAUUGACAUAUGUCAAAACCCGGUUACCUUGCACCGUGAUUACUUUCUUUGUUGGCCUAUUAGGAAUCCAACAAUCUUGUUUAUAUUUACACCAUCUCCCGCUCUCCAAAUGCUCCCCUUCUUGAAAGUUAUCCCUGCAAAGAUACUCUGCCACACAAAUGAAGACCCUUUGUUCAAGGUACAGUUCAAUAUGUCAUCGGAGGGGUAAUAUCUAGCUCAAAGUACUCUUGCACAAAGGGAAUCAAAAUUCUCAAUGAACCCCCAACAUUGCUUAGCUAACAUGGAAAGGUUGAAAGAAUGGACAUCUCAGAAUCCCAUGCCACCCCUCUCUUUUAGGAUACACAUCUUCCACCAAGCGAACAAAUGCAUCCUUCGACGAUUGUCCUCAUCUCCCCACCAAUACUGCGACAUUGCAUCAGUGAUCCCCUUGCAAAUUUUCUUUGGGAAUUUGAAAACACUCGUCGCAUAUGUGGGUAUGGCUUGGGCCACCGCCUUUAUCAAAGCUUAUUUCCCUCCGAAAAGACAACAUUCUCUCCUUCCAACCAUUCGCCAUGUUCGAUUAAAGAAGUCAGUCCUUCGGUACAAAGAAGAAAUAGUAAGGCUGAGAGAUUGCACUAGUGAAAGUAUGAACCCUAGGCCUUGUUUCUAAGCAUUGAUACAUCAUUUUCACACACUUUUGUUACUUGCCACCUUGAUAUUUUUAUUUGUUCAGAUUAUAAAAAGUUAUUUCUACCAUUCAUAUUACACAUCUAUCAUCACCUCUUCGCCGAACUAGUGCACCUAUACAUAUGACAGUUGUAUUGGGUGUGUUAACGUUGGGGACACAAGAGACUACUUUUAUUUGCUUGCAGGAUUGUUCGAGAGAGAAUCAUCUUCAUCCUACACCUCCCACAGAUUGAUAAACCUUAGGUCAUCCACUUGAGGAAAAUUUGCUGCAGUCCUACAAAACUCUGCACUUGGAGGCCCAACCAAGUCUAUAAAAAUGAAGUUACGUAGUAGACAUCAGAUUCUCGCCUUUUUCCCUAGAGGUGCCCUGAGUUAUCGAACCCACGAGUGGUUGAUGCUCUUUAAGCUAGGGUUUCAAACAAGCUUUUGGAAGAGAAUAAAUUCGAUCUUUUGAACGGAUCGUUAAUCAAACUGACACUGAAAACAGUUAUAAUCAAAAAUAAGCAUAAGCAUGAGGUCUUAUGCUUACAACCAUAUAUUUGUGUCGGGAUCAUCAUGAUCUUAAUUUGUGCUCUGGAAGUCACCCAUGAGGAUGUGCUUGCUACGUAUCAAAGUGGAUGUGUGUCCAAAUUACGUCUUGGCCGGCACACAUCCUCCAUCAAGAGUCUGUUGUCCAAUCGAAGGCCCUAUCCGUCACACGGGGUUUGCCCCGGUAAUUAAGAUAACAAUAAUUGUACAAAAGCAUUGGGAGUUUAAUGACUACACCCUUGAAUCCACAGGGAUAGGAUCCGUGUUAUCGUACUAAACAUUUUUAUUACUAGUGUUCAGAAUAACACUUCACGGUCUCCCUGCUCUUAGCCUCUCCGUGACUCGCUCUCCAUGAUCCUGGGUACCUACAAGGAUGAAGAACGUGAAUGAGACAAGAGACAACUACAGAACAACUAUAUGCUACACAUACGAGACUUUAAUUCUAAGUACUUCCAUUGAUCCCUCCAACAAUGCAAGGCUCUUGCCUCAACCCAUGACCUUACCGUACUACUCACACAUGGAGAUCAUAUCACACGAAGAACACAUCAUGAAGAUUGAUUGAUUGACAAUAUCGCUUACAAUGGUUGUCGUGUCUGAUAAACGAUUACAAGUAUGGCUAAAUGGCUGGGAACUAUGGUGGUGGUGAAGGUUGUGCCUAUGGAGAUGGGAAAUGGCGGUGGCUAGGGUUGGUGGAGAUAGCUUAUGUGAAGAUGACUGGAUCGUUUAGCGAUGUUCUAUUGCUCAUUCGACAUAGGUCCCUUUAUAAAGGUUGUUCAGGUGGAUCAAGCGCCUCCACUGGCAAUCCAUACGAGCGAGCGUGGUCGUAUAAAACAUCGUCUUCUACUCUAGCGCCACCCACUUGAUAUCAUCUAUCUCCACUUUGCUUAUUUCCUAUAUUAGCUUGAUUUCGUCCUUAAAUAGCCCAUUUCUUGUGGAAACAAAAUAAAGAUACUCAUCAGCCCGACACAAAGACUGCACCGGCGCCGAUCUAAUCGUUGAUCUUGACUCUCGUCGAUCUGUGGUGAUCACCUAGUAGGACCUACAUGGGCCACCAUAGACGGAACCUAAACCGACAGACCUCGAGGUAGGCUAUCCUAAGCUAGGCGUCUAGAAGGAUGGUAAAAAUGGCACGGGGUUUUACCCAGGUUCGGGCUCUCUAAGGAGAUAAUACCAUACAUCCUACUUAUGUUUAUUGUGUUGGAGUGCUACAGAGUACAAGUAUCUACCAACAGAUUAUAAGUAUGAGGAUAUCUUUAUUCUAUGGGACAGGCCCCUUGGUUUAUAUAGGUAUCGGCGGGGGGGUCAAAGGGCACAAGAUCCUAGUCGACUACAUACAGGGAGGUGUUGGAAAUAUGCCCUAAUGGCAGUAACAUUGUAUUAUUAUAUUUCUAUAUGAAAAAAGUCCAUUUUACUACCCUGAAGAAAGUUGGUGGUUCACAUAACCCCCUGAUCUUUAUUUCUGCUCCCUUUACCCCCUAAACAAUCUCAUACUCGGCACAAUCAGUCCUUGGGUGGUUUAACUCGACUCGUUGCUGAUGUGGCAAUGGUCAAUGGGCGGUUUUGACCUGUGGGUGUGUCUUCCUCGUCAUACUGGGCUGAGACAUAGGAGCUCCUCCCGAGCCUCCCCUCGCAGCUGCUUGCUUCUCCGAGCACUGUGCCCGACCCCGCCGCCACUGGCUGACACCGGCGACAGCCGGAGUUCCAACAUGUCGCUCGAGUGUCAUGCUUCUCCUUCCUCCAUUCUCUUUCCUCUCCCUUCUCUCUUCUCCCGCCUCAGGUACAGGUCAAGCCGUCACCACAAUCUCGCCGGCGGGCCGUCUUGACACCUCCGGCGGACUCCGGGUCCGGCUAAAACAAGACCAGAUGGAGCCGCUACCCCUAGAUCUGGCCGCCCAUCGCCUUCCCCUCCACAUGCAUUGAUGCAGCGCCGCUGCCCUGCUACCUCCUACGCGACUACAGGGACGACCAUGCCCGACGGUUGGGCCACCGCCGCCACAAGCUCGCUGUCGUGCCGUCUUCACACCCCUGCCAGACUUUGGAUCCGACCGGAACUAGACCAAAUGGGGUCACCAUCCCCGAUUCUGGCCGCACCCAUGCCGCCUACGUCAUCGCAGUGUCGCGUCGCUACCCUCUACCUCCUGCACGAGGAGAGGGACAAUGAUGCCUGACGGCUGGGCCCCGCCGCUCACCUGACGAGGAAGGCCCACCCUUAGGUCAAAAACGACUUUGACCAUUGCCACAUCAGCAGCGAGUCGAGUCAAACCACCCAAGGACUGAUUGUGCCCGGUAUGAGAUGUUUAGGGGGUAAAGGGAGCAGAAAUAAAGAUCAGGGGGUUAUGUGAACCACCAACUUUCUUCAGGGUAGUAAACUGGACUUUUUUCUUUCCGUAUUCAUAAUUAAGAGUUUAUAUGGAAUAUGUGAUUCAGUGGAAAACUCAUAUGCACGUGUGGAAUGAUAAACGGGAAAAUAAGAAACCUAAUCUUGCCUCUAGACUAGCUGAAGUGUUGGUGGUGAUCAUGUUUUCCGGAUCCUAGGAUAUCAUUAAGUCUAACGAUAAUCCUAAAACAACUUUGAGAAUAUGACAUUAGAAGAACGAUCAUAUUGAAUCGACCCAAACUUGUUUGUUAUACUUUGAGAUACAAUCGCCAGAAGCCAAUUGUUAUAACACAGAGUGUUAGUGUGUCAUUUAGUUCCUUAGAACAUAAGAUUAUCAUAGUCACUUCUUAUCGUACGAUGAACUUUGGGGUUGCUCAAACGUCAUUUGUAACAUGGUGAUCAUAACGACAACUUACAGGUUCAUCAGGAAGUUUGACAAGGGACAAGAUGGCCCAAGAGUGGGAUUUGCUCCUCCAACGAUGAAGACAUAUUCUUAGGGCCCUCUCGGUGUGACAACAUCCAUCAUCAUCUGGCUAUAAUCAUGUGAGUAGGUCACGGGAUGCCGGGACAUGUUAACCAGAAAGAAGAACAAAAUCGAUAACGAGGAGACCAGUAUAGUGAACACGUGUAUGACUCAAGAGGAUACAGAUAUAUCUCACCUCGAGUUUUGUAAAGUAUCGCGGAGCAAAGGAAAUAGCACAUUAUAACCAAAGCUUCACUCGAAUGUCAUUUGUGUAUUCGUAGGGAUCGAUAUGGAUGUCCAUGGUUCCGCUAUCGGUCAUUGAACAAAAGGAGUUUUGUUCAUGUCUAUGUUUUACUGAAGUUUUACUGAACCUGCAGGGUCACAAGCUUACAGGGAUCACGAUCUGUUGAGUGUUAGUGGAGCAAGAGUUUUGGAUGUUUCCAAAAAUGUUCUGGUGCGAGGACACUUUGUCUGGGCCAAGGGGUAAGGCCCACGAGGCUUGAGGUCAGUGCAUAAAAGGGUUUUGUAGAGGACAGGGGCCGAACGCCAAGGUCCCGGGCAUCUGGUCCUGGGCAAGCCACCGAGGUCCGUGACAUUUCAGGAAACACCAUAAACCUUGGUGUUUCGUGCUGGAAUCCAAGGAGGACUCUUCCUUGCAUCCGAAACUGACUUUGGGAAGGCGCCCUCCGCAAGUUGCGACCCCAGGGCUCAACAUAUAAAUAGAGGGGCAGGGCUAGCCCCUAGAACACAAAUUUUGGAGCCUCCUCUAGUUCUAUCGUGUUCAAGUUCUCAUCUAGUUUGAUCUAGACUAGUUCUAGUUCUCUCUGAAUCUUCAUAAUAGAGAAACCCUAUGAGGUUCUCUUCUUCUCCCUCUAAUUCUCUGGAAGUGAUUAGCUCUGGAUGACAAAGCGAUGCCGCAUCGUGAAGACCGAACGCUUGCAAUCUGUGAAUAGGCCGUGCUUUCGGUCUUCUGUUCGAGGGGCUGUUCGUGGGGGGUUUGCAGAAUAGUUCAUCUAUGGUUAGGGGGACUCCAAGUACGUUCUACACCGACUCAUCUUCUUCUAAUGCAACUCGGAGUAGGUAACGAUCUGAUCCAACCCGUUUAUUGCAUCUUCAUAGUGUUCCUGGGUGAUCGUAGGGCGAUUUUUUUUGUUUUCUACUAUGUUUCUCAACAUGAGGCAGAUUCCUCCAUAGAUCCAACAUCCUGCCAUGUAUGUCAAGUCUUCUUGAACCUUUUGAUGAUACACCAUGGGCCGCCCUGUGUGUCCAAGGUGGGAACGGACAAGGGGUCUUCAGCCCAUCCCACCAGGUCGGGAAUUGAUAGGGUGAGAGGCCCCUUAGCCGGGACAUCGUCAAGAGCCGCGCAUAUAUCUCCAUAGAGAUGCAUGCCACUCAAAUUGUAUCGACAGAGGGGGAGGGGGUCUCGGUGGAGGACACGGAGGAAGAGGGGGUGUUGGGGGACAUGGAGGAGGUGGAGGAUGCGCCGGGCAUGGAGGUUGACCCUGACGGCUUUGGCAUGAAGCAGGCGGACGUGUAGUUUCAACACGCCCAAGCCGCGGAAGCAGUGACGCGGUUCGAGACCAAGCAGCCAUCCUCGACUCAGUCCAAUCCAGGCCAGAGGUCACAGUGAACCACCGUCAUAUCCACCUCACCGCUGAGGUGGGAGCGGCUCUUCACGGACAUGGACGACGAGGAAGAGGAGUUGGGGCUUCACCCCACCAACAAUGACCAUGAGGCUGGUCCUUCCAGACGAUGGGUCAUCAAGAUCUCUAAUGGCGACGAGUAAAUUAGGGUAGUUUGCUUGUGUUUAUUAGCUUGUUUGUUUCAUGUAAUGUGUUAUGUAUGAUGAAAUGAGCGUUGCAUGGUUAGUACAAGAUUUGAAGGUCUGCAAAUAGAGUUGUUGUUAGAAUGGCGGUUGACGGAGCUAAAUCCAGCAGAUCUUGGGUAGGCGUCCCAAGUUGGUGAUCUUGGCUUGAUGGUUACAGGAUAGAAAAGAGACACAAUGUUUGCCUAGGUUCGGUCCCUCUCGAAAAGAUAAAACCCUAAGUCCUGCUUGUGUUGUAUUGAUUGUGGAUGGGGUACAAUGUACAGGUUGAUCUACCUUGAGAUCGUAUGUGUGAAUGAAUCUACCUCUAUGGUCUAAAUCCCUCAGCUUAUAAGGACACCGGGGGUACCUAGGGUUACACCUAGGUCGGUUACAUCGGGGGAUAAACAUGCCGAGAAUUAAAUCAUGCCUUGGAGUAUGAGCCAAGUCCUUGGGAGAUUCAUCUUCAGUUCAUCGUGGGGCCUGCCGAACGUGGCCGAGUGGUUGAUAUAUAGUUUGCGGGUACUUGGCCCAGCCCGGGAUAGGGAGCCUACGUGCUUAGCAUCCCCUUAUCCAGGACACCAUCAGCGGGCAUAUGAGAGGUGGUCCAACGUUGUGCCAUGAUGUUUAGAGGGUCAGAUUUUCAUAGUCCGUUUGCAAUUGCUCUAACAAAUUAAAAGUUGGCUUUACUAGUCAGCUUACAGCCUUUGCAUUAUACCAUCAAAAAAAAAUUACAGCCUUCGCAUUAUACAAAGAUGUGUACACCCUACGUCCCAAAUACAGUGCGUAUUAGAUUUUUUUUUUCUUCAAAGUUGACCAGUUUAUAGAAUUUUUUAUCAAUAUUUACAAUACCAAUUAUAUUCAUCUCGAAAUGUAUUUUAUAUGAUGUCUAUUUGGUAUUGCAAAUAUAUAUAAUUUCCUUUGUAAACUUGGUCAAAUUUUAUAGAACCUGACUUUCACAUGAAAAACCAAUGUGCGCUGUCUGCUACUACUAUAUUAUAAGACUGAGGGAGAGGGUUUGGAGCAAUACACGGCCCAAAACUAAGAGAGGAUAAACAGUGGCACAUGGUGCUUAUUGGCCCUCACAGUCACAAACCCAUCGUUUAGAUAAUUCAAGCAGCCUUGGCUCAAAAAAAAAGUUAAUUCAAGCAGCCAGAGGUGGAGGAUGAUGUGCCUGUGCCUGGCUGCCGGGGUUUGCCGAAUUCCCUAACAUCGUUCAGUCAAUUGUAAAUGCUGCCUCUCAACUGUUUUACUAGGUGAAAACGCAUGGCGCUGAAUGCUCGUUCCUCCGCCGAUUUGGAGAGCACGGCCCUCGCGCAACCGGCAUCACACGGAGAUAGCGGCUCAGAGGAUCACAGGUGCAUGGCCAUGGACGCAUGGGCAAGGCCAGCCUAGUGGAAACAGCUGGCUUGACAGUUGCCGAUGGGCCCCCAGCAAAUUAGCUGUCAAAGUUACACUAAAUAAAUGCUCCAGACCUCCCUCCCUCCCGCAAGAGUGCCAGACCAUGCCACCGAUGCUAAAAGCCUCCUCCUCCUUUGUCCAUUCUUUCCUGUCCACCCCCCAAAAGUUCGUUGGAACGUCGGACGGAGCGUUUCGCUCGGCCAUCUGUGCUACUACCAGACGGCGAAAAUAUCACGUCCGCUCGGACAGUUCCGGUAGAAAAAGAAACGUGACCGUGAGCUGCCAAGCUGGGUUCAACUCGGCGUGAUUGCGGCCUCCUAACAGACACUGAAAACGCGUGGUAUGAGACAACGUAGCCGCUCGUAUUCUCUUGCGGGAAAGAAUAGAGUGCGUGCCUACCAGCACCAGCCGGGGGGGAGAGGGUGGGUGAUCCGGACGGGUACUCCACGCCGUAGAAGAAGGCUGUGGAAGGUCGUGGCGCGAGUAGAUUUCUCAUUUCUCGGAGGCAAAGUCGGCAGCGGCUUUCAACGCGCAGUAGGUUAGGUACAUCUCCUCUUGCUCUCUCGUGGGAGUGGGGAGCGGAUUUUAUUUCCCGGGCGUAGUUUCAGCAGCCGACCGCCGUUGCUUUUGCGGCGUGCGGCUGAGGGGGUGGUGCGCGUGGUUAACCGCCUUUCGUCGCGCGUCACGACACCCAGGGCGCACGCCGAAGUUAUGGCCGUCCAGCACGGGCGGUGGGGCGUGUCGUCUACGGCGUGGUCGCGGGAGCAUGGUGCUACGCUGGGAAAUGCUGUACGUACAGUACGUACAGGGAUCGGUGGACCGUGGGCGUGGGGCUUUGUCGACUGAAGAGGCAUGGAGCACUUGAUCUGAUUCUGAACCCGCGAAUGCUAUACGCAUCAGCUUCACCCAGGCACUUUAUUCAUUGAUCAUAGUAGUAUAGCAUUCCUCCCUAAAAAAAUUUUUUUAGAAAAAAAUGCUAUACCUUGAGGUUUUUUAGUCAAAAUACACUUUAUUUAUUGAUCAUAUUCCAAAUGCAUUAUGAUUGUAUGCAUCGUCCAGAUACAAAGGCCGGGGGUACAUCCUCCUUUUCUAAAAAAAUAGUCCAAAUGCAUUGGAUACAAUUUAGGUCCGUCUCCCGUGAAGAACGCCCAUAUGGGCCUACUAGCGCACGUGCUCUCUCCUACCGCUCGAUCGAUGUACUGGUUAGGCCUGGGUUUGGUUCUUUUCUGUUUAUUUAUUUAUUUAUUUAUUUUUCCUUUCAAUUUACUCUGCUUCUUCAUCAGUUUUCUUUGGUUUUCUGUUUUUUUAUUUUUUGUUUCUUUCAUGUUCUUUACUGAUCUGUUCUUUUCUUUAUUUGUCAUGUAUUUCUUUCUCGAUUCCAUUGGCUUUUUUCGCUUUUCUUUCUUUCUUUCUUUCUUCAUUUUUCUUUGUUUCUUUUUUGGAUUUUCUUCACUUUUCUUUGUUUCCUUCUUGGGUUUCAAUGUUUUCAUUCUUCUGGAUUGGUUUUCUUUAGUUUUUAUUUUCCUCUUUGGUUUUCUUUGUCUAUUUGCGGAUUUUCAUUGGUUUCUUUUUUGUUCAACACACGUCCACUUUUGUCAGUACACAAUAUACAUUUUUAGUACGCACAUGAAAGAAAAUUUGAUACACGUUGAACAUUUUUCAAAUACAAGAUGUACAUUUUUCUAGUACAUGUUAUGAACAUUCUUUUAAAACAUGUUCAAGAUUUUUUCAAAUACACAAUGGACAUUUUUUAACGAUAAUAAGAAAAUCACAAACCUACGUCGACAUUUGUUUACAUUGUGUAAAUAUUAUAAAUAUUUUUAGUACACAAAUAUAUAAUUUCUGUAUAUACAUGAAACAUUUUUUAUACAGGCUGAACAUUUCUCAAAUACACGAUACAAAAUUUUAUUUUUAAUGGAUGUUUUGAACACUUCUUUGUAUACAUAGUCAACAUUUUUCAAAUACAUGUUUCCAACACUUCUUUUGUAUAAAUAGCCAACAUUUUUCAAAUACACGUUAACAUUGUUAUGGCAAAAAAUAUAUUAAUAAAACUAUGAGAACAGGUUUUUACAUUAUAUAAAAAAUUCUAAAUGUUUUCAGUACACAAUAUACAUUUUUGUUGUACACGUGAAACAUUUUUAAUACACACUGAACAUUUUUCUAAUAGUAGACGAUACAUAUUUUUAUUUUUAAUACAUGUUUCGAACACUUUUUGAAAACAUGGUCGACAUUUUUCCAAAUACACGUUGAACAUUUUAUUAUGAAAAUAAACAUUUUAUAAAAAUUACGCAAACAUUUUUGUAUAUUUUAUAAACUGCUUAUAAAAUGUCACAAACAUUUUCUUGAGACAAUAUUUCUUUAAAACACAUAUAUAUUUAGUGGUGCGAAACAUUUUUUGUAUUGCGCAUUUUUUUACAUUGUAUGCAUAUUUUUCAAUAAUUUCACAUGCAGUUUUUUGAAACAUAGAAACAUUUUUUUAUGAACACUUUUCCUGAAAGCUAUCAACAUGUUUUCAGUUGCGCUAACAUUUUUUUAUAACGUGUUAACAUUUUCCAAAUUCAUGGUUUUAUUUUUGUUAAUAAAUUUAAGUAUUUAAAAUAUAGAUAAAAAGGGAAAACGAAGUUAGCACGCUUUGUCAGUCAUACAAGAGGGAAGAUACUCAAAGUUGAUGAGAGUACUCGAUUUGACUGGUAUCACGAAUAACAACUUUAGUAUGACUCGUGCGUUGAUGAUUGUAAGGUUUUUUCAUCGAACCACUAAUGACUGUUAACUUUUGUCAUUCUGAUGGUACUGAAUCGGGUCAAUAUUUGGAAUAACAAAUAUUGCAUCCACACCACCUUCUCGAAAUUUCAAGGGGAGACUCAAAUUCAACUAUAUUACUUCUGCACACCCGGUAGUGCUGUUGUCCUAUCAGUAGUACCGCUUCCCUCAUGGGAGCCGUACCUCUACUCGCACUUCAAGUUGGUAGUAACGCUCCCCCGUUUGGAGCGGCACUACUGCUCCAAGAGUCAAACCUACUACCCGGGGGUGGUCUUCCUCUCUGGUCUCGUAGCAGUUCUUAAGCAGUAGUGCUAUGAUACUACUGCUCCGUACACUGUGCUAUGACUCACAGUGGGUCGGUAUUACCAUGCACUGGUCCAGAAGUACCGCUCCCUUGGUUGGAGCGGCACUACCAGACCUAGUGUUGGUCUAAUUACUGCAGGGGGCUCAAUUUCCCAUGUAAUUCCACCGGCACCAUGGCGACACAGCUACGACAAAUACCGACUAUUUUUAUAUACCUGUUACUACCGUGGUCUAGAGCGGUAGUACCGCUCAUGCCUUCGUUGUGCAUCCUAAAGGGACCAACUCUUGUAUUGCUCUUCGGAGCAGUACCACUCAUUGCAAAAUCUACAUAACGGUUAGAUUUGAGUCUCUCCUCAAAAACUUGGAAGGUGCAAUAUUUUUUCGUGUGCGUGUUUUGAUUCCACCCAUCCCUUCCAACAUGAACCCUCCUAAAUAGUACGGAUUUUCUACGACCAAAGAAAUAAAAGCGCCGGAAACACCAUCUUCGAUAUUUUCCUUCAAGAGGGGAACUUAACCGUCUUGUGCCACUUUCCAAAUAUGCCUGUGUAGCGUAAGCACAUGGUUAGUCUGCAACAUGCGUUGUCAUCAACACCAAAACCACAUAGACUGGACAUAGUGGGAGUAACUUCAAGAGUAACAUCAAGUUCAACUCAGCAAAUUUACCUAUGUGGCAAUAAGUUAAUGAGGAGAGAGGCAAAUUGAGUAACUUAGCUAGUUACCGUAACAUUACAUAUCUCAAGACAACACUACUAGGGAAAAGCCUAUACACAAAAUCUUACCAGCAACGCUCUUCAAAAUAUCACGCUACUGCUACUUAGCAGCAACGCGUGUCUACCAAACGCGCUGCUGACUUGGAAGUAGCAGUAGCGCGUGUAUCGCAUACAGCGCUACUGCUAUAGUUGCCAUGACCUUGGCCCCCCCGCUAGCUAUAGCAGUAGCGCACUUUCCUGUGGAGCGCUACUGCUACUCAGGUUAGCUAUAGCGCGUUUUGUCAAACGCGCUACAACUAUCCCUACCUUAUCCCCACGCGCACGACCGGCCCUCUCACUCACACUCUCACUCUCGCCCGCGUCAACCGUCGUCGUCCGUCGCCGCCGCCGCCGCCUUCGUCCGUCCGCCGCCGAGGUACUCCCCUCCUUCUGUCCCUCCUCCAUCCUCCUCGCACAUCCUCCCUCUGCCUGCGGCCGCCCCUCCCUCCUCCGCCGCCGCCCUCCUCCCUCCGCCUGCGGCCGCCCCUCCUCCCUCCUCCGCCGGCAGCCCUCCUCCCACCGCCCUCGACCUCGCCGCCCCUAGCUACCUCUCCGUCGCCCCCCACCCCCUGCCACUAGUUAGUACUAGAUUUAGUAGUAGUAGAUGUUAAUUUAGGGUUAGCUAGUACUAGAUGUUGCUUAGUUAGUACUAGAUUUUUAGUAGUAGUAGUGGUAGUUGAACUACUUUAGUUGUAGUUGAACUAGUUUAGUAAGUAAAUUAAUAAACUAGUUGAACUAGUUGAAUUAACAGAACUAAUCUAUUUUUAGUAAGAUAAUUAAUAUAACUAGUUGAACUACUUUAUUUUUAGAAAGAACUAGUUUUUUUUCUAUUUAUAGUAAGUUUAUAUUUAGUAAGAACUAGUUGAAUUAAUAAAACUAGUUGAACAUGUCAUGUUUGUUGUUAGUGAUAACUUAUAUGGUUUCAGGUGACCUCCGUCGUCCCCAUCACCGACCCCCUCCGACAUCCCCGCCGUCGUCCCAGUCACCGACCCCCUCCGACAUCGAGGUGAGACCAGCCAAAUAUCCUUGUAUAUCUUGUGUUGUUGCUCAAAUUGGAUAUGUGGUUGCCCAAGUGGCCGUUCAUGUUCAGUUUACAUCUUCGAGUGGCCUAUGUUUUGCCGGAGUGUUGAUUAAUUUCCGUUCCGGCAAAUUUCAGGCGCUCGAUAUGUCCUUUUUUAGCAAAGGUCAUGCCGGAUUUUGUCGUGAAUUCUGGCAUGACUUGUGCUAGAAUAUGUACAAGUUUAAUCUUUGAAUUAUGAUUGUAGGAAAUGUCGUACUCGGACGACGACGGUCUUCCGGGGGAGUGUAGCUGGUGCCACGACGAUCGAGGUAUGUGCAACAGGUUCGUUCGGCUGGACGAAGAUCGGCGCUUCAACAUUAAGCUCGAGGAGACCUUCGAUUGUGAAACGGUACGCAACAACGACAAGUGUUUUUUUCUCCAUUAAGCAUGACUUCAACUAUUUCAACGUCUAAUUUUCAUAUUUUACAAUUCGACUAGCUUAUCCCAUGCCAUGCAAGACGCUAUGUCUUGGAGAGGAUGGGUUUCGAAGACCAUGAAAAUUUCGAAACAAAGAAAAUACACCUAAGGACCCAUCAUGAUAUGGAUUUUGAAGUAAACCUGUGCAAUGCUCAGAACGUAACCCAUUUUGGUUGCCAAAAUUGGGAAGCACUUUGUAAAAUGUAUGGUUUUUAUGAGGAUAUGAUUGUCACCAUGGAUCUUGGUGAUCCUGACAGCGAGGAAGACAAUAUGGACAUUUGGGUCCUUGUUGAUACGCUUCCGAUUGUACCGCUAUGUGAGUGUCUCAAACAUAGUUAUUAACUAAUUUAUAUUGUUUAUUUCAAAAUAGUUGAUAGCUUAUUUCCAUUGACAGCUUAUUUUGAUUCUUCAAAGACUGUGCGGAAGAUGGUAGAUAAAACCCACUACACCGAAGGCACCCAAUUAACGUAUAAGGAGAAAAAUUAUCUGAUCGCAUUUUGUACUCUUCUUGAGAAUUACAAUGACUAUUAUCGAACUCCUCCAAAUUAUGGUGAAUACGUGCCACUAGUGCAUGUGUUGAACAACGAUAACUUCUCUGGAGAUACCCUAGUAAGAUUUUUUACUAUUACGACAUCCGUGCAUUUUUUGCAUACUUCUAAAACUAGUACAUCAUCGCUAACUACGAAGUUAUUAUUAUGUUUUUCAACAGAAACUCCCGAUGGAUUGUGUGCCUUAUCUGAUGUCUCUGCAUGGUCGCCUCUCAGUUCUGAACAUACUGCCAGGUAAAUCUACGGAGCUCACCUGUGCAUAUCGGAUUUCUAAAACCCGUGAACACAUGAUCAUCAGAGAAUGGAAGAAAUGUAUGGACAUUCGAAAGGAGGUUCUUGGAAGUAACAUUCAGCGAAAGGCAAGAAUGGGAGACAGGCUAAUCUUCAUUCUCCAUAAUGGAGAGUCAGGGGCUAUCUUAUUUUUUGUUAUUUUACCUUAGAAAAUGUAGUAGGUCUUAAUCGAAUGUAAUAGGUCCUAUGAGGUACAAUAUGUUUAUUAUGUGGUAAUGUGUUAGAGUUGAUAAUGAUGAUCUUGAGGAGGUGUUAUGUGAUGUCAAUGAUGAAAACGAUGAUAUUGAGGAGGUGUUAUAUGACAAUGAUGUAUUAUGAUGCUAAGUUGUUAAUGAUAUGAUGAUGAUGAUGAUAUUAUUAUAUCAUUGGGUGAAAGAACCGCGGAUUAGUUUCAAGUGGAUGGACAUCCACUUGAAACUAGUCCACGGUUCUUUCACCCAAUGAUGUAAUAACUCAUUAUGAUGUAAAAACAAUUUCUGAAUUCCUGUUGUAUGAAAACUUGUGUAAAGGUGUAUGAAUACAACAUAAAAAAGAAAAGAAAUAAAAUACUAAAUAAUAGUAGUAGCGCGGGUAAGGAGAAGCGCUACUACUAAUUACCAGUAGCGAUGUUCUAAAGAACCGCUGCUACUAAGUCAAUUUAGCAGUAGCGUGGGUCAAGACGCGCUAUUGCUAAGCAUUAGCUGUAGCGCCUUAUCAGUAGCGCUCCUGUCCGCGCUACUGAUAGGCCCAAAACCCGCGCUGCUGCUAGGCUUUUCCCUAGUAGUGCAAUAUGAUUCUAUAACCUAAUAAAUGAAGCUUUGCAUGACACCACGUAUAUGUUACUACCCACUAUGGAGGUAAUAACACAGCGUAGGGUAGCGUGUAUGUUACCAGUGCAGGUUACUCUCCACUAUGGCUAGUUUAAUGGAGGAAAAUGUCCUUUCACACGUUAUCACAUGCUGCCUUAGUCACGCUAGCGAUGACAUUUGUGGGCGACAUGGUUGGCAAGGAGGAGAACAAUACACGAUGGAUUUUUCCAGAGUCCGUUGUGAGCGCAUUUCUUUAUCAGCAGUUUUAUCUCUAAACCUGAUAAAGUGGGGCUGAAGCAAACAUCACAUGUGUCAACUGGUCCGAGAAGGGAAGCUCUAGUCUGCCCAAAGUCCCCUCCCACUAGCUAUGCAAAGAUGCAUGUCGAUGCGAGUGUGGCAUGGUCAUGUAGUGGAGGUUAUGCACGACGGUAUGCCGCGAUGAAAAUGCCUCUAUCUGGGAAUCUCAACGAUAGUCAUAAAUGGCAUUCUGGACGUGUCCACACUAGAGGCUAUCACAUGCUAUGAGGGUUUGUCGCUCGUGGAUGAUCUCAUGUUGCAUAGCUUCAUCAUCGCAUAGAAUUCUAAAAAGGUAGUAAACAACAUUAUCAAAGGCGAUCAAAGGACGAUAUGGCUCAGUCAUCAACAAGAUCAAGUUGCGAGCUACGAUGUUUAACUAUAAAUUCAAUUUUGAAGAGCAUGUAACUAAUGCGGAAGCUCAUAGUUUAGCAAAGUUUUCUCAUACGCCAUGUCUGGCUAGUCCAGCCCCAUGACCCCUUAUGUAUAUCACUCUCCAUGGAUUUUGAUUUUUAUAUCCCUUAAAAAACAUAGCAAAUCCUAUUGGACGCACAUUGCUUCAAACAGUCGAGCCAAUGCACAGCGAGUGAUUUGGGCUGGUCAAUUUAGCGUUAUGUAGAGGAGAUUGCCAGUUCUGAUUUUGGGAACCUUCUAGAAGGCAGGUGGUCAUUUUCUGUUGUUGGUUUAUUUUGGUUUGUCUUUUCUUUAAAAAAAAUUUCUUCAGAAUAUUUACAGAUAUUUAAAAAAAUAAUUUUGUUUUUUAACAAAUGGUUGAAAAGUUCUCAUUUUCCACAAAUGACUAUGUUUUCAAAAAUUCUUUACAAAAUUCAUAAAAAUUAAAAUCAAAUAUUGGAAAAAAUGUUAACAAUAUUCGUUAUAAAAUUUCAAAAAUUGCUCACGUUAUAAAAAAUUAGAGUUUGCAAAAACUGUGUUAUUUUCUUAAAAAAAUAAAUAUAAAAAAUAUAAGAUUUUUUAAACUAAGUGUUCAAACAUGUUCAUGUUUCAAAAAAUAAUUUAGAUUUUCAAGAUAUAUUUUCAAUACUAACCGAAAAACCGGGUACAGUUUUUUUGAAUUAUUUGAAUUGCUUAUCACAUGUGUUACGUGGUCUGGGUACAGUGUUUUAUGUUCUCUACAGUGCUUCAAUAUCUCAACAGUUGUACGAAAGAAAAACACAAACCCACGCUGGUGGCUUAAUGGGCCGGGCUGGUUUGCGCGUGUCUGUUCGAAUGGUGGGCAUUUUGACGCAAGGAGCGUCACAUAGCAAAUCCUACAGGAUGUCGAUUGCGUCAAAUAAUCAACCCAACGGACCAGUGAUUUGAGCCGACCCAUUUAGCGUUACUUAGAGGUUCCUGAUUGGGUUUUUCUAUUUUUUCUUUGCAGGUUUAUUUCGAGUUUUUCUUUUCUUUCUUUAAAGAAAUUCAAAAAAUAUAGGAAAUUACUUUGAAUAUUAGAGAUUUUUUUAAAAAUGUAUGUGGUUUCAAAAUUUGUUCAUAAAUUUCAAAAGAUGAUCAAAGGUUAAAAAAUGAUCAUGUUUUCGAGUUUUAAUUUUUAGAAAUAUUUUUCAAGUUUUGAAAAAUGUUUGUAAAAAUGGGCUCAUUUUAAUAAAUGUUUUCGCAAUUUUCAGAUUUUUUAAAAUUGUUAAAUUUUUGAAAAUGGGACCAUUUUCAAAAUUUGUUUGCAUUUUCCAAAAGUGUUCAUGUUUUUUAAAAUGUUUGAAAAAAUGGUCUCAUUUUCAAAAACUGUUCACAAGUUUCAGAAAAAUGUUCAGAUUUUUGAAAAACGGGAUCAUUUGAAAAUUUUGACCCCAUUUCCCUAAAAUGUUCAUGGUUUUUAAAAUGUUGAUAAUUUUGAAUACUUUUCAUGUUUUAUAUAAAUUAUCAAAAGUUUUUCGCCGUUUUCAAAGCAAUGUUCACUUUUUCCAAAAAAGUGUGCUAACUUGAAAAAUGUUAUAAUGUACAAAAAAUGUUGAUAUUUGAAAAAAUGUUUUCAAUUUUCCUGACAGUGUUCUUGUUGUUAAAAAUAAUUUAAUUUUUUUAUGAAUUCAUCGUGAAAAAGGGGUAGAAUGUUUCCCGGUUCUCUAGAGUGCCUUUUAGUUCAGGACAAUGGCUUCUGGUUCUCUACAUUGAUUCAAGGUUGCUACAAUGUACGAAAGGAAAAUGCGGACCGAUGUUGGCGGCUUAGGAUGCGUUUGGUUGAAUGGAUUGUUCAUGAUGGGUUGAUAUCAUACCAAACAAAUAGUUGUUUGGUUAAAGCACUUGAAUGGUUCCAACCAAAAGAGGGAAUAUGCCCUGAAAAUAUCUGGGAGCUCCUAUACAACGCUGCAGGCGCCCGUUAACGAUCCAGCGCCUGCAGUGCUGCUAGCAUGGGCCAGCCCACUAGCGUGCUGCCCUAAGUUUUUUUUAGUUUUUUUUUACAAAAAUAAAAAAAUGAAAUGAAGAAAGCUUUACAGAUUUAAAGAAAAAAAAAUUCAUCCAUUUGAAAAAAUAUGUUCAUAUCUUUAAAAAAGGUUCAUAAAUUUUGAAAAAGUUCAUCAAUUUGAAAAAAAGUUCAUUAAAAAUUGAAAAAAAGUUCAUUAAAAAUUGGAAAAUAGUUCAUCCAAUUUAGCAAAAGUUCAUUAAAUUUGAAAAAAGUUCAUAGAAAUUGAAAAAAAGUUCAUAUAUUUUUAGAAAAAGUUCAUGGAACUGGAAAAAAAGUUCAUCCAUUUUCAAGACAAAUGUUCAUUAAAUUUCGAAAAAGUUAAUCAAUAUUAAAAAAAGUUCAUCAAUCUCAAAAAAGAUCACAGAUUUUUUUUAAAAAAAAUCGUCAACCGGCGCCUAGAUAGGCCGGCCCAUUUACGGACGCCACAUGCGCCAGUUAAGAAAAUGCACGUUAACUGGCGCCUGUGGCGCCAAAUAGGAAAUGCCCUCUUCUUCCCCAUGCUCGCGUGUGCCGUGCCGUGCCCGACCGAGCGACCACCGACCGGCCAGCGAGGCACCCCCGCUCCACGCACACACACAGAGACCCAGACCCACACACACCAAGGCGUGCACGCAAUGAGGCCCUUCCUGUUCACGCCGGUGGGCGCCCAGCUCGCGUCGCUCCCCUCGCCGUCAACGCUCUCGCGACUGCUCCGCCCACUCCACCUACAAAACCGCCAUGCUCACGCCAUCCCCAUCCCCACCCCCACCUCCUCCUCGUCGCUCCUCCUCCACCCUCCCCGCCGCAGCAGUGGCCGCCGCGGCGAUCGCUUCCUCGUCGCCUCCUCCUCGCCCUCUCAGGUCUGCCUGGCCUCUCCGUCCCGCCGAAUUCCACCUGUUUGAGAAUAGUCCCGGACCCCAAGUGUUCGAUGGAAUGCCUCCCCUGCGGUGAUUGUGGAUUUGGCUGAUGGCGCCCGGCCGUUUUGUUUGUAUUGCAGAUGGCCGCGCCUGCCGAUGCCCCCGGAGGAUCCGCAGACGCGUUCGAGGUGAUCCGCGCUCACCAGGUGCGGCUCUUAGCCUUGGCUCUACCUAGUGAUUAUGUAGUUACUAUGUGGUAACCUGAGGACGCGAUAGCUGCACAACUUCUAACACGAAAAAUUGGGUGCUCUGCUCAGUACCAUGGGGAAUAUAAGACAUCUUUUUUUCAGAACCAUGUAUUGAGUAUAUGCUACGGAGUCUGAUAGAUUAUCAGGAGGAUUAAACAGUAGUCUGGAAUAGGCUUAAAAUUAUGGACCCCCUUAGCUGGCGAACAGUAGUCUGGAAUAGGCUUAAAUUUAUGGACCCCCUUAGCUGGCGAAAGUUCGCCAGGAGGGGGUGGCAUUUGAGAACAUUUUCGCUGGCAUUUUUAGUUGUGAGGGGUAGCAGUUUUUUCAGAGCGACAUGGCAGUUUCUGUCAGAGAUGGCAAUUUUUCGUUUAAAACUGCCACCGUUUGAUCUCGUCUCAGAACUAAAACUGCCAUCAAAAGGGGUUCGUUUGCCACCCCUCUCCCAGCGAACAGUCGCCAGAUGAUUUCCAAAAAUUAUUAAUGUGUAACUAACUGAAUUUUCGAAAUUUAGUAUGGCGAGGGAGGAAUGUCGUCGACGAUUAACAAAAUGAUAGGGAAGGUACUCGGUGCUUUCCUUUUCAGAACCAUGUGCUUGAUAUGUGUUUAUGGGGACGGAUUUAUUACCAGGAGGGUUACUGUGAAAUAGGUUUAAAAUUGUUCCCUGGUAGUGAUUUUCUUCAACAAUUAGUGUGACGAGGAAAAAACAUAUCAUCAUCAACAAUUAACAACGAUAUGCAGAGCUUUCCUCCACAAUAGUCAACAUAUUCCAAUAUCGUGGGAGUUUUUUUAUCUAACCACCAUCAACCGGAUCAACUUUGCAAAAUAUGCCAUUUUCGGUUCCUAUUAGAUAUUUGAAUGGUCAGCCUGUGGAACAAGUACGUGCAACAUUUAUGACAGCUCUGAACAAAUACCUUAACUAACAAGUUACAAAGUUGUCUUGGAUUUUAAUUAAGAGGAACUCUAAAGAUUGUAGGUUUUAAUCUUUUGCCAUCUCAAGGUCUUUCUUAUUCACUCAACAUCAUCAUGAUUAUAGGUAAAAGCUGCCCGGCUUCCUCCUGUUGAAGAAAUACGAACCAUUCUGGACCAAAGUGUCAGAGGUGUUCUGGCUACCCAUUCUCAGGUAUGCUAGAAGCAUUCUUGUAUUUGCAGUCUAGUGAGCAUGCAUUUGCCAGUCUUUUCCUGUGUCGUCUUUUUUAGAAUUCUAUUGAAACUGGUGAGUACUGAUUGCCAUGUGGAUAUGUAAAGGGCGGACCUGAUAUUUUUUUUUCCAUUAACAGCUUCUCUUGAUUAUUCAAACUUAACUUUGUUGCUUAAACCUGCUUGAUAACUCCACUUUUCACUUCUCGCUGAAAUGUGGCAUGUGCUUGGCAAGGUACCUGUCAGAUAUUUAGUACAUCGUGAUAUGUAGCUUUUUACCAUGCCAUACUGGCUGAGAUUGUCACCUUCCAGUAUGUGCCUUUUCUGCUUUGUGAAUGGCAAAGGCAAAUUAUAUUUUUCUUCUAUCUCCUUCUAUUGUCAAUUGGUUGAUUACAGCAAAAGAAAAUUAUAACAUGUCAUUCUGUUAACAGGAACAUGUGGGUUAUCCAUCUGGUUCAAUGGUUGAUUUUGCGUGCGAUCAAGAUGGUUCCCCCAUAUUAGCAGUGAGUAGUUUAGCAGUUCACUCAAAGGUAUGCCAGUAUUGUGCUCUCAUGAUUAUGUAUACAUGUAAUACUACCUGUCGACACCGUUCUACGCGCAUGGAGACCCUAUGCAUUUAGUGACUUAACUCAAACACACAUGAUAACACUGACAAUAGCAGGAGUACUGUCAGAUAAACACGGACAUAAAAAACAGAAUGGAUAGACAUGAAAAAUAUAAAAUGCAUGGACAGUGUUCUAUGAAAAGAAUAGGGUGCUGGUUUAAUCUACUAAAUUCACAAUAGCUUCUGAUAGUUAUGUCUUUUGUUGCCACCAUUUUGCAGAAUCUCGCAGGAAGUAGUAAAUGCUCACUUUUGGUUGCCAAAGACCCAGAGGACAGAACAGAUACUGUAAUCACUGUAUACGGCGAUGCUACACCUGUAAUUCCCUCCUUUCACUUGCCCCAUAUAUUAGUGUGCUUAUGUCGGACGCGGAUUUGGUGAACAUGGGUGCGCGCGCACCCUUUAUGAAUAGUAAAUUCAAAAAAAUACUAGAAAAAACCAAAAAAAAACUGAAUUUAUUGUUUUAAUAUACAUAGUCAACCGGUAUACUCACAUAUGAAGUUUCACGAAGAAAUCACAUCCGUGGUAAUCUGGGCAAAAAUGACAAAAUCGAAGCUAUAUUAAAAAACACUGUUUAAUGAAUAGUAUGACCACAUUUGUAUUUUCUUCACUAAGAAUACCAUGGGUAUCAAUACAUUAUGAAACUUCACACGUGAGUAGAAUGAUCGACUAAGGUUCAUACCGCGAAAUUUCAGAAAUUUUUAAAUUUUUCUAGUAUUUUUUAUGAAUUUACUAUUCACAUGGGUGCGCGCGCACCCAUGUUCACCUUUGUAUUUCGGCUUAUGUCCUGAUAAAUUUCUUAACUUGAUAUUUAUUAAAGCAUACAGUAUAUGUUACCUGAUAAUUCUUUGUUGGCUCACUUCGUAUUGGUUCUGUUCCAAAGGUUCCUGAUGAAGAAAAAGAUGCAGUGAGAACUGCAUAUUUACGGAGACACCCUGAGGCCUUUUGGGUAUGUUUGUUGAACAUUAUACUGUUUCUAAAGUAACUGUAUAAUAUCGUACUAAUUUCUGAUGGAAAUUUGCGAAAUCAAGGUUGACUUCGGUGACUUCCGUUUUCUGCACAUCAAACCAAAAGCUGUACGUUACGUAUCUGGGGUUGCAACAGCUAUCCUUGGCUCUGGAGGUUUGUGACCCGUCUUUUAAAUGCCCUAGUUAAAACUACUUAUAGUUAGAAACCUGCAUAGCCUUUUUGACCAGAAGUUCAAGGUUCUACUCGACUUUUAAUUUGUUUUUUAGUUGCUAUGUAAUGUUCCUGUAGCGCUCUUGCGAGAAUCGUGAGUUGCAAUAUGAGAACCAUGAAAAGGAAUAUCCUGAAUAAGAAAACAGAAACCGAGGAAACUGUAUAAAGAUAAAACUAGUAGCCUCUCGUCUUAUGUCAUUCUCUCCUUUUUCACUCAAUGUUUCAUCCGAAUUUAACAAUGAAAUUUUCUAUAACAGAGGUUGAGUGUUCCUAUAGUUAGUUUCUUUAGUGAAAACCAGGCUCAAUCAUAAGACUUGCACAUUCGGUGCCCUGCACUUGUGCUUAUAGUUAGGUUUUGUGACCUAAAGGUCAAAUUCUGUACGAAAUGCAAUAUGAUUUGGUUUGAUGGUCCUUGAGAUACUGUUCUGUUCUCCACAUCCUCAGAGUUUAGUGCAGCUGAGUUCAAGGAAGCAAAAGUGGAUCCUAUAUCUCAGUUCUCCGCUCCUAUUGCAGUAUGUUUUAUAUUUUAUUGACUCCACACUAAAUCUAUUGAUCUUCAAUUGGCAUAUUUAUGCUCAAGUUAGCUGCAUGUAUUCCACAGGGCCACAUGAACAAGGAUCAUGCUGAUGAUACAAAGCUCAUCGUGCAACACUCAACCUCUGUUAAGGCAAGUACAAUAUAAAGCUUAAGUGGUGUCUGGUCAUGAAUGCGACUCUGCAAGAUAUACUAGAAAACAAGUCGUAGCUGUAUUAGUUUGCGAGACAGUUAUAUUAUUUAUCUUCUGUUCAUUUCAUACUUAAGUUUCUUUCUGUAACCAAAUAACUAGUAUUUUAGUUAUUGUAUGGCGGUGUUGUGCUCGGUCACCGUGAUAUAUUUUGUGUGUAGAGACGAAUGUUUUAGUUUAAGGAUAUGGUUCCUACUUUUUGUCCCAAACAUUAGAUAAAAAAAGGUGCAAAACACACAAAGCUUGGUUCUGAGUUCUUUUUCUUUACAGUAAACACAUCUAUGCCUUGUAUCACUCUUUCAUUUUCUUAAUUUUGACACUUCUAUACUUCACCAAAUGUUAAUGUUUCCAUUUAAAUAUAUUGAGGGAUGACAAAUGUAAGCUAUUUCAGGUGGAUUUCGCUUCUAUUCUGGAUGUGGAUAGCCUCGGUAUCAAUGUGAAGGUAACAGCCCUCUCAAAGCUUGGCUCGAUUUUCUUGUAUAGACCUCUGUAUAGUCCCCCCCCCCCUCCCACUCCUCCCCCGCACAUACCCUCUGUUGUACAUAUCUCCUUUUUUUUCAAUAGAAAAUUACUGUCGAGGCUCCCCUCUUUCAAAAAUGGGGAUGUAAUAAGUAAUAACUAUACAAAGGCUGUGUCUUUUUCUUGUUUGGCAAAAAAAAUAUCAAUGAAUCAUAGCGAUGUUGUCUUGUGAAUGCUUUCUACCCUCAGCUCCGAUAGUCGACCAGUAAAUUGUCAUAUGCACUGUAUUAGCGGUUUUGACGAUCAGAACAGAAUUCGAAAUAGACAAUUUAUUCCCAGGGAUGUUCUUUUUUUUAGUGGCUAAAGGCUGUUCUUUGGUUGGACAAUGAUGCACUAUCCUUUCAUAUCUUUGAAUUUACUUAACCAGACCUUUAAUGUGCCAUGCUAUAUUCUAGUCAAAGCCAACCGGUGUGGUAACAUGGUAAUUGACACUUUCCUUGUUGUGCAGGCUGGCUAUGAUGGAACUGUUCUGAAGCUGCGAAUUCCCUUCCCUAGACGUGCGCAAGACAGAAAGUUAGUUCCUGCUCUAUUAUAUUUUCCCCAUAGUUAUAAUUCAUGCAUACUCAUUUCUCCAUUCUGCUCUAUACUUAUAUUUGCUACUCUCUUCAUAAUCUUGUUGUUAAAAUUGGGUUUACACAUAACAUGUUCCCUUCUUUGGGGAUGAUUAUGCAUUUUGUCACUUGCAUUGUUCAUCAAGGCCUCCUAGGUUUUCAAUCUGCUGAAUGACGGUUUAAUUGGUAACUAAGACAUGCUUAUUCUGAUUACUCAAUUGAUUGACUCUAAACGGUCCUGUGCUUUUACAGGGAUGUGAAGACACUUAUUGUGGAAAUGCUACAGGCUGCAAAGGCCUCAUCCUGACAUGCUGAAUGGCCUCUUUGUUCUGGAAGGCAGUGGCGGCGUCCAUGUAGAAAGAAAGCCCUAGCCGAUAAGAGCUUUCAGGUUGCUCUCCAGUCUCAGUGUCCGCGAAGAUGGAUGAUACAGAAAAUUCCAUGGUUUCAUACAUCAAUCAUCACUAUUGUGACAGCGAACUUGUGUGAAUUACUUCCAGUCAAACUUAAAGAAAUGCAAAACGACUUGUAUAUUGUACUGAACUGUUUUGCACUCAUACACGACUGAGGCUGUUGAGCAAACAAAGGUCAUCUUAUUGGAAGGUUUCGCAUGUCAAAAUUAGAUAUUGUCAUGCACACUCCUGCGGGGAUCCAAUCCGAUGCACGAAUUGCCUUUGAUUUGGUCACAUCACCCGCUUCUGCCGCGCUAAGAAGCUUGUCCACCAAGCUUUGCCGCCCCAAGGUCAUGCUCCACCGCCUGCAUCCACUAGUGAUGUCUUCAUGACAGACGUGCAGUUCCAGUUUGUCUUGGCUAGCAAGUCGGGUUGGUGGAGGAAACCAAGCUGCUUCGCACUGAGCUUCAUGAUUGCCUUGCGCGAGUUGGGAGUGUUUUGGUGAGGACGGAGGCCGCUCUUGCCAAACUAGAGGUGGUGCCGGAUGUGUCUUCGCUGCUUGAGCUUCAGAUUGGGGUUGCCCCUGAUUUGUCCCCGUCACCCGAGAUCCUGGUUGGUUCUGCCACAGACAUGUAUGGAGAUCUCUCCCCUCGUGCUACAUCCUGUUGGUUGUCGUUGCAUGUCGUGCCGAUUGCUUUCGGGAGUGAAGCCGUUGUCGAGGUUGUGGCUCCGGUGUUGCAGAAGAUUUAUGGGGAGCCCACUUCGCCUAUUUAGAUGGUGCUUCCUAAGGAGAUGGGGUCGCUUGGAGAGUACUUGGCGAUUCUGACUACGACCACACUGCCGUCGUUGGAGCCCAGUCGGCUGCUCGCCUUUGUGGACCGUGGAGGUUUGGACGCUGCUAUUGCGCUCUCACCUGAGGUUGUUGCCCAGGUGGCGUCCGUGGGUGCUGAGGUUGAUGAGAUAGGUGCUUUGGCAGCUAAUUAUGAGGUGAUGAAGCCCGUUCGGUCGCCCAUGUUUGACCGUGACGCUAUGUUGACACGUAUUGACGAGGCGGUCUUCGUGAAAAAACUUGGCCGCUUACUCGCCUCCUUGGAGAUAGCUUGUCCUGGGUCUUGCAGUGUGAUUGCUUGCCUCUUAGUGGAUGAGGUUUCUACAGGCAAAAUAAAGAAAGUGAACAAGGCUCUCAGGAGCAUAGGCAAGAAGAGUGUCGCCAUUGAUAAGGCGUCUGCGGCUGCUUAAUGGAGGAUACUCAGUCUCUUCGUCCUCCAUCUCUGACUGGCUCGUCUCUAUGGAUUUCGUGGCGUCCGAUGUAUUCAAUCUUGAUUUUGUUGAGGGUUUGUUUGCGACAUAGAAGUGCCAGGGUUCGUGGCUGUUGCAUGUUAUGUAUGUUUGUCGGGUUGACCGUGGGGUCAUGGAGUUUCUUUCUUAACGAGUAGUCCGCAUGAUCUAUAUGUAUCGGUUUUCGUCCAGUUUUCCAUUAAUUAACCGGUCAAUUCUCUUCUUCUUAAUUAAUCGAUGAGGCAAUUUUUUGCCUUGGUUUCGAAAAAAAUAAAAAAAUAGAUAUUGUGUUUCCCUCUAUGAGUUUUUAUACCAUCUGAACUAUCAACCGGCGAGCUAACGAGCUGUAAGAUAAUUUGCUCGGGUAAAAGAAAAAGGGGAUUAUUUGAUUCAAAGGAAUAUUAGAAGUUUUAUAGAGGAUUUAAUUCUUAAAAAAAUCCUACUUGUUUGAUUUGCAUGAUUAGAGUCCUUAGAUUUUUCUUUCCCUAAGGAUACCUUUUGGAGAAAGAAAUCAGUCCACCGAAAUUUCUUGCUAUAAGAGCAACUCUAGUAGAGUUAUUGUAUCGGGUAGUCGCCAUAUCGCAUAUCGAGCGUAUUUCAUAUGGAUUUAUAGGUUGUCGGGCUUGUGCACAAACACGGAGUCGGCGAACCAACUUGUGGUUGGAUGGCUAGAGGGACAGUGGUAUCCUCAACCCAUCAGGGUUCAAGUCCUGGUGCUCGCAUUAUUCCUGGAUUUAUUUCAAGAUUUUCGGCGAUACGCUUUCAGUGGAAGGAGAUGUUUCCAUCGACGAUGAGGUGCCUACGUUGACUUCGUAAAUCUCAAGAUGAUAUGCCGGCUCAGUCUCUCGAAGGUGCUCAUAGGGGUAGGAUAUGCGUGUGUGCGUUCAUAAGGGUAAGUGUAUGCGCGCAUGUAUGAGCGCUUGCGUCUGUACUGUGGUAAAAAGUACAAAGUCGCCAAACGGCUGCCUCCAUAAAUUUUUAUUUAUCUGUUUUUGUCAAAUCCCCUUCAAAUUUGUAGGGGCAAUUUAAGCUCAGUUUAACCUAUGUAAACACAUGUAUCGGCAUGAUAAUUAUCAACUAUAUUAGUUAGGAACUAGGCUACAUAUACUUAGUGGCCAAAAUGUGCCACAUUACAUAUAGUUUGCGACUUUACAAUGUCGUUAAUCGACAAUACUACCUAGACUAGUUGUCGUCCUCCUCAUUCGAAUUCAAGUUGAUGAGGUAGGCGUAGGGGUCAGAGCAACGAGCAACGACCGCCAUCUGUGACACCUCCUCUUUGUCGGCCUGAGCGGGGCUGAAGCACUCCUCCUAGCAGCGGCGCGUGUCCACUUUGAGUCCGGAGAGACGCACCACGACUGCGAUUGGGUCAGGACGAUGUCGCCCAAGGUGCCAGAUACAUCGUGCUCGCUGCNNNNNNNNNNNNNNNNNNNNNNNNNNNNNNNNNNNNNNNNNNNNNNNNNNNNNNNNNNNNNNNNNNNNNNNNNNNNNNNNNNNNNNNNNNNNNNNNNNNNNNNNNNNNNNNNNNNNNNNNNNNNNNNNNNNNNNNNNNNNNNNNNNNNNNNNNNNNNNNNNNNNNNNNNNNNNNNNNNNNNNNNNNNNNNNNNNNNNNNNNNNNNNNNNNNNNNNNNNNNNNNNNNNNNNNNNNNNNNNNNNNNNNNNNNNNNNNNNNNNNNNNNNNNNNNNNNNNNNNNNNNNNNNNNNNNNNNNNNNNNNNNNNNNNNNNNNNNNNNNNNNNNNNNNNNNNNNNNNNNNNNNNNNNNNNNNNNNNNNNNNNGGGCAGAGUAUGCCCCGUGGUUGCACGACAUCUGCGACGGGAGGUAAGAGUGGAGGAGAUGGGAAAGGAGGAAGCAAGGAGGAGGCAGAGGCAACAACUAGGGCUUGGGUUGAUGGUGACGCAUCGUCGUCGGGCUUCUAUAGCCAGGGACUGAUGUAGCAUGGCGGCCAUCGCGACAGCCACCUGAGAAUUCACGACAAGUGAUUGGCGGUCAUGUCCCCACACUAACUGGUGAUUAAUCGGAAUGCGCAAGUGCGUGUACAGGUGGCGAGCUGUUUCAAACCCGACCAUGGCACGAGGAGGAAGAAGUUGGAACUUCCUCCCGCGCUGGCGGUUGGGUUUGGAGCAAGCUCCAUACUGGCCAACCACAGCCUCCAAAUAUUGAGAGUACAAGAUAAAUUAUACUCAUUGGCAGCCAUUCAUUUUGGAUCAAAAUCGUCGUGUUGACAGUUAUUAUGACGAUUGGGACCAUAUGGCAACUCUCUACUAAAGUUGCUCUAAUACUUUUGUUUUCUCCAGUGAUGUGUCAAGCGCUCUUGAUGCUAAUUCCAGUAGUUUCACAAUCAACAAAAUUCAAGGGUACUGUAGUGAUCUAAACGUUGUUAUUUUUGUUUACAAAGGGAGUACAUGACAAGUAAAAUCAUAGUUUUCCUAUUAGUUUUUUACAAACCUAUGAAUCGAAGAGGUUGUGAUGCGGAGCAUCCUACGUUCAUCCCCAUGUACACUCCGACUACUCUCCAAUCCCCAAGAGGACAUAUGACGAGACCUUGAACAUUCGCCAUUGGACACAAGGUGAACUCGCUUCUCUCCGAACUGUCACUUUCCACAUGUGAGAUAUGGCUACUACCUCCAACGUGUGUGCUAUGCAUGACCAGGAACCAAGAGGAAGGCCAUGUAACAACUAUGAGCAUUGGACAAGACGGCGAGGACACCAAGCGCGAGGAACAAGAGGAAGAGCUGCCAGGAAGCUACAACUCUCGGACGUCCGACGACCUCCGGAUGACAAACGAUCUCCGGACGUCCGGCGCCUGGAGACUCCACCAGCCAGAUCGACUCCAGCCAAGGCAUCCUACAGCGCCCGGACGACCGGCAGACACCGGAUGUCCGACACUCAUCAGCGCCCGGACGACCGACGCCGACCGGACAUCCGACACUUCCAGACCAGAGCCAAAACAUCGAAAGUCCGAAGACUUCCGGACGACCAUACGCCCGUGAGCGACCGGACGACUGACAGCCAUCGGACGUCCGACGCCUGUCUACGCACAGAGACCGUGCCCGAGGCCCAUGUAUCUCUCUCCCACUUACCCCUUCAUGGACCUAGACUAUAUAUACUCCUCCACCUCCUCCUAGUUAGGGUUAGAAAAGGAUUAGCUCAUUUGAGAGAUAGAGCUUUGCUCAUUCACUUGGUUACUUCUCCAUUGGAGUCCACGGCCUCUUCGGAGAAGAUCCCCCAAGCGGAUUCAAGACCCCUUCAUGCAAAGGCCCCUUAAGACCUCCUCACGGAGAAGAACUACCGUCACUUGUAUCGUCCUUUGUCGGAUUUGGAUCGUGUAUCUCUUUGUGUUUCGAGGAUCUAGCACAUGUGUAAUCAAAUCUUGUUGGUUUGAGUGAUUUCGCUCCUCGUGUUUUCCUUCGUGUUUCUUCGUGUUUCUUGUGGGAUCCGCUCCAAUCGUGAAAGAUCGGGCAUCUAGGGUUCUACCCUACUCAUCUUGGAUUAGAGAAAGGUUGAUCACGAAUUUGGACCCCCUACCCCUUGUUUUUCUAGCCUAAUUUUGUUGUGUUCUUCCGUAAUUUUGAAAAUCCCCAUAAAAAAUAGCCCCAAAUGUUUUUUGUGAUUUGUUGGUUUGAUGAUGUUUUGUUGAUUUUGAUCCAUGGAUUUGCUUGGUUUCGAGUGGAUCUAGCAUCUCCCCAAGUUUCCCCACUUUCCAUCCACAAAAUCUCAUCAAUUUUGACCCCGAAAUCCCCAUUUUCCGCCGAAAAUCACGUCCCGAAACUCGGAUCUCGAGUUGACCCAGACCCACCGGACGUCCGACACUUUACCGGACGACCGGCCUGUCCGCAGCACCGGACAUCCGACCCUUACCGGAUGUCCGACACCACCGAUCCAGUACCAAAACAUUGGAUUUCCGGCCAUUUCCGGACGUCCGUUCCACGCUCCAGCCCUUGUAAGUCCGACGAUCACCGGCCGUCCGACCCUUCUCGGACGUCCGACACCUGUAGAUUCAGACUUCGGCUGAUUUUUGUUUUGCCCAUAACUAAUUCAUCCGAACUCCGGUUUUGACGUUCUUUUGCUCAUUUUGAAGCUAUUGACAUCCCCCAUCCCACAAAAUACUUCCAACAUCAUUUGACUCCAUCAAAAUUUUGGAACUUUGGCAUCUUUUCCUAGGGCUUCCACCACAUCAUCUGCUACACCACCACCGACUUCCGCAACCUAACCCAUUUUGCUUGCCAUAGCAUUAGUGGUUGAUUGAGUAAUGAUUCGAGUCUCCUAAGGUGUUUUGGCUACUUAGGGACGGUUACUUCUUCAUUAACCACCACCAUAACUUCUGCAUAACCUUGUCCACCAUACACUUCCGCCACCCCAACUUAACCCAAUUUUAUUUGAGCUUGUUUGAGUUGUGGCUUGUGUCUCCUAAGGUGUUUCGGCUACUUAGGGACAAAAACUUCAACUUCGACUUGCAUAACUCACUACACUUCCGUAUUGCCGAGUGCAAACCACCAUCGCUUUCCGCUACCACCAUUUGACAUUUGAAAUUUGACUUUUGAGUCGCGGUUUUUAUAUUUCCUAAGGUGUUUCGACUACUUAGGGACGGGUCUACGUCAUCUUGGUAUCUACAUCAAGAACGUCGCCACUCAUCGUCGCCAUGAGGUCGUCAUCGACAUUGACCAAUUCAUCAUUUUGACACCCCUACCGUAAGCAAGGACGGUAACCUCGACGACAUCAUUGUACAUUCUCCUUGCCAUUACAUUGUUAACCCCUAGCCCAUUUUGCAUCACUUGCCUAUCGAGACUAGCCAUUGAGUAUUGUCGGCAAUGUUACUUGUGCACAUUAGUGAUCAUUGGUCUACACCUCCCAUUGCAUACAUACCAUAUCAUAUUGGUAUCAUCAUAUCAUCUCUUGUGUCACAAGAUUGUUCCCGCAUAUACACAAUUGCUAUCUUGGUUUGUGCAUUGUGCAAAAGUGGCCACACAAAAAACAAAGAAUAAGCUUUUAAGCAAAAAAGAGAGAGUAAAGAAGUUUGUAAGCAAUAGCCAUAUCAUCAUACCACAUUGCAUAUAAGAUUGUCAUAUCCGAUCAUCUUGGAUCAUCGAUCUUGAGAGGAACAUCUGGAACCAUAUAUACAUAGCAUAAUUGGGAUAGAAGUCAUUGCAUUUUUGUCCCCUAUAGGUUGUGCACAAGUGUCGUAUCCGCCUAUUGAGCAAUCAUGCUAGCAUCUCCCUAGAGUUGUGCAACAAGAGCAUUUUUCGUGGAUUCCACAUUUUGAGCUCAUUCCUUGGUUGCACAACCCCAUUUAUCUACCUGUGUGACACAUAUUGCUAUUGGUCUACUUGUUUUACUUGUGAAUUCGUUAAUCUCUUUCAACAUUAUUGACUCUUGCUAACAUUUUGCAUCAAAUUUUUGUGCCACUAUCCUCACCGAGCUCCACCAUAAGCCUUAUUUGUGUAGGUGUGAGAAAUUGACGAGAUCGGUACCAAUUGUGCUAUUUCCUUGUUACAUCAUUGAGUGAUCAUUGAUCCAUUCUCAACAUCGGUCAAGGUACAUUUGGUAUAGUUCUCUCCUUUCUUCCACUCAUAUUUGCUCGAGUCUUUUGAUGGAUAGGAAAGGCAUUUCAUCUCCGAUCUUCCAUGACAACGAUGGCGCGAACAACUACAUAACCAAAGCGUCCAUCUACGGUCUACAACAACAAAUGCAAGGUGCACAUUCUACCUUGCGAGAACGCAUCGAGAACCUCUCCAUCCACAUUCAUCACUCCAAAGCAAGGAAAAGGGACUACAUCGACAACAAGCUUUCCACACAAAAGGAGGAGCAAGAUGCAAGGAUGGAGGAGAUUCAGGCCUUGUUGGUCAAUCGUUCUUCCCCUUCGUCAUCUUCAAGGCGGUGGCAAGCAAAUCGAUCAUCUUCGGAGCGCCCAAGCGAUGCAAGUGCAUGUUGUCCACGUCCACAUCUCCAUGGCGAUCAUCAUGAUCAACAUCGUCAUGAAGGGCAAGUCACCUCCAAGCAUCAUGUGCGCGACAACGAACAACGACAUCUACUACGAGCUCAAGCACAACAACGACACCAUCAUGAUGAAGAUGCUCUACAAGCGCAAACCUACAAGUCCGAACAAGCUCUACAUCAAGCUAUGGCCAAACUUCAUGAGCUCAAGAGAAGACCGCGAGACAAGCACCACCA
rnacentral:lncRNA from 1 species